rnacentral:lncRNA from 1 species
UCGCCGAUGCCAUCCUGAAGAACGAUUUCAUCCUGCGCCUCGACGUUCACCGUUCCUUGGUCCCCAAAUUGGAGAUGUGGGAAAGUCUCUUGGGAUCGAGAGAGCUCGUUCUCAAGCAUCUCAAGAAGACAAGACGGUUUUUCUUCUCCAGCGUUGAGAAGACAUUGCAUCCUAACCUAAAGUUCUUGAGGGAUGAGUGCGGCAUUCCUGAAGAAAGGGUCUCUGUCGUCUUGAGAAGUCACCCACAAUUAAUCUCACAGAAACCAGAGUCUCUCCAAGCUUUGGUGGCGAGAGCCGAUGAGCUGGGGAUGCCACGGCAAUCUCGGAUGUUCGUGCGGACACUUGAUGCUCUCCACAACGUAAGCCAAGAAAGGUUCGAGGCCAAGGUCGAGCUCAUGAGGAGCUUCGGGUGGUCGGAGUCGGAGUUUUCUUCUGCAGUCAGGAAAGCACCCACCUUCUUAUGCAUGUCCCUCGAUAUGUUGCGCAGAAAAGUGGAAUUUUUUAUCAAUGUAGUCGGGUACACCCGUUCCUUCAUCGCCGACAAAUCAUAUCUCUUGCUAUUUUGUCUGCAGAAGAGGGUAAUUCCUCGGUUUCGUGUCACAGAGAUGUUGAAAUCGAAAGGAUUGUUGACUGGACAAGCCAAGUUUCCAUACAUUCUCCAAUUAUCAGAUACCAAAUUCUUGGAGAAGUUUGUUCUCCCUCACGAAGAAAAUGUUCCUGAGCUGCUCGAUAUUUUGAGAGUUGAGGGCGUGUGUAAAGGAAAAUGAUACCUUUCAUUUGGUAUCGGAGGCUGGGAAAGGGCUUAGCUGAUGGUCUAAUUUGCCAACGACGAAGGUAGAUUAUUCCCUAAUUUGAGAUUUUGGAAAUAGAAUGCAAAGGGCUUAUCAAAAGGUGUACUGAGGUGUGGGAUUUUUCUUUAAUGGCAAGCUAGAUUAGCAUUGAUUAUAAAUCAAAUUUGUUCCGUCUUACUAAUUGUUAGCUUAACUUAUUUUCCGAUUGUCUUUGGCACAGUAUUGUUGGUUUGUAUGUAAACUGCAUGUUUUAAAAAUUCUACCUAACAGUCCAAUUGAGAUGACCUUCGGAUCUAUCGUAGGGACUUUUGGCUUUUGUCCAAAUUAAUUUCAAUUCCGGAUGGGAUUUUGGUUUGUUGGGUAAGUCUCAAAGAGUCCUAUUUUAGAUCAACUUAUGCAGUAAGUAUAUACAAAAUAUCACCGAAGAUCACAGGAAGUUGCUGAGUAGUAGUUGCUCUAACGAUUUAAGUGGCUGAAAAAAUCAUAGAACAGUAAAGAGUUGUUUCUGUAAUUUGUUUUGAAAUGAGUCGUCACCAGAUUUAUGGAUUUGGAUAUGUCUAAGAAGGCUUCUUUGCAUACUUAUUUAUUUGUGUGCUAAUUGGAAAUUGAAAUUUGAUUUAUGCAUUGUAAUAUUAGUAUGCAGUGGCUUCAAUGGAGUUUGAAAGAGCAGUUGCAUUGGGUUGAUCAGGAGUCACCAGCAUUAGUAUUAACUUUGCUUCAAGGUUGUAUGGACUUUUCUCUGAGCAUCAAAACAUGGGUGUCUUCAGCCUCAUUUGGAAUUGCAAAAGCUUUUCCUGCAUCAACAAAUUCUGACUUGCCUCCGGGGGCUUCAGCUCAUCCACCCUUUGUGAUUUGGUUAGCAGAUCUCUUCAUUCUUGGAGUCUGUGGUCUAUGUAUGUUUCCCUCGUCAUGAAUGGCUUGGCCCAAUGGAAAGUCAAUUUAGGCAGAAUUAUAAAUUCCCUAUUUUUCUGGUCUUCUAAUUAUGGAUCACAUUUUGGGAGAAAGGUAUGCACAAUGCACAUUCCAUUGUGCAUAUCUUUAUUAUCACAUUUCAAAUAGGAUCAUAAGAAUAUCAAUCAUCUUUAUUGAGAUGUGUUCUGAAUUUUGACAUCAGUUGUUCCAUCUCUACAGAGAAUCUGUGCAUGAGUUGUAGAAGUGAUAGAACUUCCAAGUUCAUCAAGAUUAUUGGGAAGAUAUGCAAAAAUUCUUUUUUCUUUAUUUCUUGAAUAAUAACGUCCCAAAUCUUUGAUGUGUGGAGAGUAACUACAAGGAGCAUCUCCAGAUAUAUACUCUUACAAACUCACAACUUCUUUGCAUACAAAUCUUCACUUGACAAACCACCCAUAAGAGAAUUCCCAAUAGAGACUAGAGUUAUAUCGGAGUCACAUUCAAUCAAUUUUGGAUUGGUAGUCACAUAUCUCACCUUGGAGUCAUUGCUCGGUUCCUUGGUUCUUUCCAACUUUGUAACUAGUUGUCUAACUUGGUUCUUGAGGAUUUUAACUGUCAUGUCAAUCAACAAAAAUAAAAAAUAAUGGCAGUGCUCAUCUCCAGCCACAAAUUCUAAAAUCCAUGCUAGUGAAUAAAGCAAAUGUAACUUCUGGCAACAUUACUUUCCCUUCUUUUCUCUCUCUUUAUCUUUCCCUGCCACUGCCUUCCCCUCACCAUCACCUUUGCAGCUAUCCGCCAAAAGCUCUAAACCUGGAUGCCUUUAAUGACAUGGAGCAAUUAGAAAUGUGGAAGAACGAGAAAAACAACAAUGUCUUCCAAAAACUAAAAGAAAACUGACAGUGAAUAAGGAGAAGUGCAAAGACUCAGUAUUGCUAGGUUGCUCUCAAACUGAGAAACCAUCAGUAUUGCUAUGUUGCGCAGAAAAGUGGAAUUUUUUAUCAAUGUGGUCGGUUACACCCCUUCCUUCAUCGCCAACAAAUCAUAUCUCUUGCUAUUUUGUCUGCAGAAGAGGGUAAUUCCUCGGUUUCGUGUCACAGAGAUGUUGAAAUCGAAAGGAUUGUUGACUGGACAAGCCAAGUUUACAUACAUUCUCCAAUUAUCAGAUACCAAAUUCUUGGAGAAGUUUGUUCUCCCUCACGAAGAAAAUGUUCCUGAGCUGCUCGAUAUUUUGAGAGUUGAGGGCGUGUGUAAAGGAAAAUGAUACCCUUCAUUUGGUAUCGGAGGCUGGGAAAGGGCUUAGCUGAUGGUCUAAUUUGCCAACGACGAAGGUAGAUUAUUCCCUAAUUUGAGAUUUUGGAAAUAGAAUGCAAAGGGCUUAUCAAAAGGUGUAUUGAGGUGUGGGAUUUUUCUUUAAUGGCAAGCUAGAUUAGCAUUGAUUAGAAAUCAAAUUUGUUCUGUCUUACUGAUUGUUAGCUUAAAUUAUUUUCUGAAUGUCUUUGGCAUAGUAUUGUUGGUUUGUCUGUAAACUGCAUGUUUUAGAAAUUCUACAUGACAGUCCAACUGAGAUGACCUUUGGAUCUAUCGCAGGGACUUUUGGAUUUUGUCCAAAUUAAUUCCAAUUCCGGAUUGGUUUUUGUUUGGGUAUGUCUUGAAGAGUCAUAUUUCAGAUCAAGUUAUGCAGGAUAUAGAAAUUAUCACCAAAGAUCACAAGAAAUUGUUGAGUGGUAGUUACUCUAAUGAUUUAAGUGGCGAAAAAAACUUAAAACACCAAAGAGUUGUUUCUGUAAUUUGUUUUUAAAUGAGUCAUCACCCAAUUUAUGGAUUUGGAUAUAUCUAAGAAGGUGUUAUCUCUUGUCAGUAGAGGCUUCUUUGCAAAUUUAUUUAUUUAUGUACUAAUUGGAAUAUUUAAAUUUGAUUUUUGCAUUGUAAUAUUAGUAUGCAGUGGCUUCAAUGGAAUUUGAAAGACCAGUUGCACUGGGUUGAUCAGGAGUCACCAGCUCUUCUGAAAUGUCUUCAACCUGCUUUGGAAUUGCUAAAGCUUUUCUCGCAUCAACAAACUCUUGCAUGCCUCCAUAGGCUUCUGCUCGUCCACUCUUUGUGAUUCCAGGUGCAGAUCUCUUCAUUCUUGGAUUUGGUGGAUGCAACUUCUCAUCAUCAUAGCUGAAGCUUCUGCUCCACUUGAAAGCCUUAAGAAGGCUGCACAACUAAAUUUCUCCAACAUCUUUAUUGAGCUAAUUCCCUUGGAGUUAGUCGAUUGGCUGGUUCCUUAAGAAUAUUUUGGAUGUCAUUUUAUUUCUUAUUUCAAGUCUUUAUGUUGCCGAUGUGGUCCAUGUUUCCCGCAUCAUGAACCACGUGGCCCAUUGGCUAGUCAAUCUCAGGAAGGGCUGUAAAUUCUCUUUUUUUUUUUUGGGUCAUAGAUCAGUCUAUCUCAGUAUCUAAUCCACUUUAAUCUUUAUUGAAAUGUAUCCUUUUACGGUAAAAAAAAAAAAAAAAACAUGCAAACUAACAUGUAAGAUCAGAAGGUUUAAAAGUGACGAUUAAAUGUGUAUUGCAAGAUCCUGUAAUUGGCUUUAGUUCUUGUUGUAGAGUUUAUGAUCAUUUACAUCACUAGUAUUUCAGAUUUAUGCACACUAUCUUGACCCGUAUCUCAACCAGUUUUUUUCAGGCUAUCCGUGCCUUUUUGCAUGUAUUCAGUAUCUCAUUUCUGAUAGGAUCAUUAGAUCAUCACUCAUCUCUAUCAAUGGGUGAAUUGUGUUUUGAAUUUUGAUAUCAGUUGUUCCAUCUUUAUUCUUUAUUCUUUAUGUCUUGGAUAAUAAUUUCUCAAAUCUUUAUGUCAUCACAAGUCUCAAUUUUGGUCACACAGACAUUAAUGAAAUGAAUAUAUGGAAGGAACUGAGAAAAGUAGAAUUCAUAAAUUUAAAUAAGACGAGGAAUCAAAGCAAAAUUAUGCAUUUAUUUAUCAUGUUAAUGAACCGAUGCAACGUGAACAUACAACGACAUACGCAUUUUCAAACAAGGAUAGGGUAUUUAUGGAUGAUCACGAAGUUGGAAUGUAUAGAUUGAUGUCUUCAGAUUGAAAUGUGGCUUGCUAUAAUUAACAAGUGUUAUUUUACAGAUAUAGUAUAUUGAUGUAUAGUCAAUUUUAAUUAAAUAUCAUAUUAUCCAUCAUCAACUUCAAUCAAGCUUUUUUUUUUCUUUUUUAAAUUUUUACGAGUAAUAAAUACUAUUUAAAGCAUAUUAAUUUAAACACAAGAAAUCAAGUUUUGAAUUAUCAUAAGAUUGUUUUUUUUUUUAAUUCUGGUGCAACAAUAAAUUAUUUUUGGAUCAAAUAAAUGAAUAAUUUUAUAUCUUUAUAAAGUUACAAAAUCAUAUAAAUAUUUUAUAGAUCAUUUUAUCCAUAAUUUUGAUAUAAAUAAUUUAUUACAAUAAUUUUUAUUCCUCAUGCAUAGCGAAUAACAACAGUUGAAAUUAUGAUGCCCUUGUGGAUGCUCUCCUUUAUCCUUAAUAAUCAUAACGUUUGGCUUCUCUUUUAAUCAAGAUAAUCUCUUAUCAUUAUUUAAAGUUUAUUCGAUGUCUCCUUUUUUUUUCUUUUUUUUUAUUUUAUCGUCAAUCGAUUAAGAUCAUGUUUAGAUCAAAUUUGUUAACAGAAAAAUGACGAUUGAGUUUUCUAACUGUAUGUGUUGUAUCGUAUCUGACCAUAUGAAUUGAGUUAUAUUGAAUCGUAUGAAUUCGAUUAUACUUAACCACAUUGACUGGGUUCACAUGAGUUAGGUUGUACUUGACUACAUAGGUUGGUUUGAUUAGUCAACUUACAUUGAAUCCUCAAUUUAACUCAUCUUAUUAAAUUAUAUUUUAAAUUUUUAAAAAUAUAUUAAAAUAAUAAUUAACCUUAAAUCCAUUCUAUUUCAUGAAUUAACUAAUUUAGAUUCAUAAUUUUAAAUUUAAAAGUAAUUAAAUUAUACAAAUACAUACAUAAUUUUUUAGACAUAAAUAUGUCUAAUUUAAAUAAAUUAGAGUCAUUAUUAAAUUAACUAAUUAUUUUAAAAUCAUAAUUCAAUAAUAAUUAUUUAUUAAUCAUAAUAUUUUAAAAUUAGAAGAUUAUUUUGCAUCGUAUAUAUANNNNNNNNNNNNNNNNNNNNNNNNNNNNNNNNNNNNNNNNNNNNNNNNNNNNNNNNNNNNNNNNNNNNNNNNNNNNNNNNNNNNNNNNNNNNNNNNNNNNNNNNNNNNNNNNNNNNNNNNNNNNNNNNNNNNNNNNNNNNNNNNNNNNNNNNNNNNNNNNNNNNNNNNNNNNNNNNNNNNNNNNNNNNNNNNNNNNNNNNNNNNNNNNNNNNNNNNNNNNNNNNNNNNNNNNNNNNNNNNNNNNNNNNNNNNNNNNNNNNNNNNNNNNNNNNNNNNNNNNNNNNNNNNNNNNNNNNNNNNNNNNNNNNNNNNNNNNNNNNNNNNNNNNNNNNNNNNNNNNNNNNNNNNNNNNNNNNNNNNNNNNNNNNNNNNNNNNNNNNNNNNNNNNNNNNNNNNNNNNNNNNNNNNNNNNNNNNNNNNNNNNNNNNNNNNNNNNNNNNNNNNNNNNNNNNNNNNNNNNNNNNNNNNNNNNNNNNNNNNNNNNNNNNNNNNNNNNNNNNNNNNNNNNNNNNNNNNNNNNNNNNNNNNNNNNNNNNNNNNNNNNNNNNNNNNNNNNNNNNNNNNNNNNNNNNNNNNNNNNNNNNNNNNNNNNNNNNNNNNNNNNNNNNNNNNNNNNNNNNNNNNNNNNNNNNNNNNNNNNNNNNNNNNNNNNNNNNNNNNNNNNNNNNNNNNNNNNNNNNNNNNNNNNNNNNNNNNNNNNNNNNNNNNNNNNNNUAUAUAUAUAUAUAUAUAUAUAUAUAUAUAUAUAUAUAUAUAUAUAUAUAUAUAUAUAUAUAUAUAUAUAUAGUUUUACGAUCUUAACUUAGAGUUAAAUCAUGACCACAUAAUAUAAAUCAUAUAAAUUGAGUCAUAUAUAAUCAAAUUAUACUUGAUCAUAUAAGUUAAAUUAUAUUUGAUUAUAUGAAUUAAGUCAUAUCUAACUUUAUAAGUUUGGUUAUAUUUAGUCACUUAUGUUAAGUCAUACCUAAUCACAUGAAUUUGAUCAUGUCUAAUCACACGGGCUAAAUCAUGCUUGAUCACAUGUAACGUAUUAUGCUUAGUCAUACUAGCUGAGUUAUACCUGAUCAUAUGUGCUAAGUCAUAACUAUUAAAUGAGUUAGACAAUGCUUGACCACAUUUGAUGAGUUAUGUUUAAACAUAUAAGUUAGAUCAUACCUAGUCAGAUAGAUUGAGUAAUGUUAUAUUAUAUUUGAUUAUAUGGAUUGUGUUAUGUUGAAUCACAUCAGUUCAAUCAUACUUGGCCAUGUAGAUCGAGUGAUACUUAGUCAUGCGAGUUAGAUUGUACUUCACUACAUAGGCUAGUUUGGUCAAUCAACUUAACUAAGAUUAAAUAUCAAAUUUGACUCAUACUUGUUAAAUUAGAUUUUAACAUUUUAAAAAAAUACUUUAAAAUAUUAUAAAAAUAAUAAGUAAUCAUAAAUCUAUUAUUUUUCAUGAAUUAACUAAUUUAGAUUUAUGUUCCAAAUUUAAAAGUAAUUAAAUCUAAAAAUUCAUACUUAAUUGUUUAAAACAUAAAUACACUUUCGAUGAUCAUUAUUUAUUAAUAAUAAAAUUUUAAAUUUAAAAUAAUAAUUUUUAAUAUAUAAAUUAAAAUAAUUCUAAUAUUAAAUAAUUUUAAAAUAUAAAUAAAAAUUAAUAAUAAAAAAAUAUACUCUCCUCGUGAUCAUUUCCUCUAAGAGAGCUAGGAAUUGAGGAACGAUGAGCUUGAGCUCUCCAUAAAAGAUAAAUAAUAAUUUUAAUAAUUUUCUUAAUCAUAUUAUAUAAAUAAAAAAACUAAUUUAAAUAAAGUAAUAUAUGAUUUAAAGUAAUUAAUCGAUGUUAGAAAAUUAUCGAUGAUUACAAAAGUCAUGACUUUAUUAGAUGAUCUGCAUGAUUAUUAAAUUAAUAAAUUAUCUGUAGUCAAUCAAGCUCACCUAAUAAUUACAAGAUCUUUUGAACGUUGAUAGUUACAAUUUGUUCACUAUGUAAUCAAACAGAGAAGACAAAAUCCAGAAUAAGCUACAAGUUCCUGAAGUUUCAGAACACCUAACAUCUAUAAAAGGGAAGAGUUGAGAUGAAGCAUUAUGAAAACGAUGUAAAAGUAUAACAUGAAAAUGCAUCAAGGAAAAAAAAUAAUAUAAUUCAUCAAGAAAAAUUCAGAUCAUAAAGGGCGUUCUUUCACAUGCGGCAAACAAAAAGGUUCAAUUGUGGUUUUAAAAACAUAAUUGCCAUGCAAAAAGAAAAAUUAAUGGUUCAAGUAAAACAUAUCUAAUUUAACUUUUAACCCACGAUAGCAAACCGAAUCACUACACAGUAGGUAGGAAUAAUUAGAAACCUAUAAUUUUUGAAAUGUGUUACUUAAAAAAUCAGAAUAACUCCAGUCACCUUUUUCCACAUAAACCAUCUUUUCCCCGUAAACAAAAAAUUUAUUUCCAAUAUAUCUUUUCGUGACUAAGAAUAACAUAAGUAAACUUCUGUCAUAUAUCGGUAACAAUGACAUACUUCCCAUCUGCAUGAGACCAAAGGUCAAGAACAAAAACCUAAGAAACCAAAUAAUUAUUUCUUUAAAAAAUCAAUUUAAUAAGUUCAUCAUAUUAGUUUGACGGAUGGAUCUAAUAUGUGGGUUAUAUUAUAGAUUGAGUCUGUACACAUUGAUUUCAAUUCAAAUCAUAAUUAUUUUUUUUAAUUUUAAAUUAUACUAUCAUUAAAUUAUAAUGAAAAUAUCUGAGUGUCUUAUUAAAACAUAAUAUUAACUUAAAAUAUUGAAUAUCUAUUUUAUAAAUUUUAUUCAUAAGAAAAAAGUUAAAUAAUUAAACUUAAACUGAAAGAUUUGAUUACAAAUGAAACGGUCAAAAUAGUAUCUUGUAGAUCACUUUAUCUAUUUUUUGAUAUAAAUAAUUUAUCCUUUAAUUUUGUAUUUCUUGUGCUUAGCGAAGGGUUAUACACACUGCAGAUAAAAGCGGGUUGUUUGUCUUAGGGUGCCGCUGCGACUGCUCUCUUUCGUCCCACAAUGGCGGCUGCGACGCUCCGCACGGUACUCCGCCGCAAUAGCCUUCUGCCCUUGUUCGAAACCUGCCGCCUUCGAGAUCUCUUCUUCUUCUCCUCCUCUGUCGACCUUGCCGCCGCUGUAGGCGUCACCACAUCUCCUGAUCCCCACUUCAUGGUGGAAUACCUCGUGAACUCCUGCGGGUUCUCCCCCUCCGAGGCAGCCAAGUUCUCUAAACCCCUUGCGCACCUCCGAUCCACCGAGAAACCCGACGCCGUCCUUAACUUCAUGAGAUCUCAGGGCUUCGACGGCGCCGGUAUCAGAAAGUUGAUAUCUUUGAAACCAAAUUACCUAUGCGCGAACGUGGAGAAGAAGUUGGCCCCGAAGUUUCAGUUCUUACGCGAUUUGGGCCUAUCGGAGUCGGACAUCGUCGAUGCCAUCCUGAAGAACCAUGGCAUCCUCCUCUUCAACGUUCAGCGUUCCAUCGUCCCCAAAUUGGAGAUGUGGGAAAGUCUCUUGGGAUCGAGAGAGCUUGUUCUCAACCAUCUCAAGAAGACAGGAUGGUUUUUCUCCUCCAGCGUUGAGAAGACGUUGCAUCCUAACCUAAAGUUCUUGAGGGAUGAGUGCGGCAUUCCUGAAGAAAGGGUCUCCGUCGUCUUGAGAAGUCACCCACAAUUAAUCUCACGGAAACCAGAGUCUCUCCGAGCUUUGGUGGCGAGAGCCGAUGAGCUGGGGAUGCCACGGCUAUCUCGGAUGUUCGUGCGGACACUUGAUGCUCUCCUCAUGGUAAGCAAAGAAAGGUUCGAGGCCAAGGUCGAGCUCAUGAGGAGCUUCGGGUGGUCGGAGUCGGAGUUUUCUUCUGCAGUCAGGAAAGCACCCACCUUCUUAUGCAUCUCCCUCGAUAUGAUGCGCAGAAAAAUGGAAUUUUUUAUCAAUGUAGUCGGGUACACCCCUUCCUUCAUCGCCUCCCAACCAACUAUCUUGCUAUAUAGUCUGCAGAAGAGGGUCAUUCCUCGGUUUCAUGUGACGGAGAUGUUGAAAUCGAAAGGAUUGUGGACUGGACAAUGCAAGUUUGUAUGUAUUCUCAUAAUGUCAGAUACCAAAUUCAUGGAGAAGUUUGUUCUCCCUCACAAAGAAAAUGUCCCUGAGCUGCUUGAUAUUAUGAGAGUUGCUGGCGCGUGUAAAAGAAAUGAUACCUUUCAUUUGGCAUCGGAGGAUGAGAAAGGGCUUAACUGAUUGUCUGAUUUGUGACGACGAAGGUAUAUUAUUCCCCUAAUUUGAGAUUUUGGAAAUUUUAUGCAAAGAACUUAUCUAAAGGUGUAUUGAGGUGUGGGAUAUUUCUUUUAUGACAAGCUAGAUUUGCAUUGAUUAUAAAUCAAAUUUGUUCUGUCUUACUGAUUAUUAGCUUAAAUUCUUUUCUGAUUGUCUUUGGCGUAGUAUUGUUGGUUUGUAUGUAAACUGCAUGUUUUAAAAAUUCUACAUAACAGUCCAACUGAGAUGACCUUUGGAUCUAUGGAAGGGACUUUUGGCUUUUGUCCAAAUUAAUUCCUAUUCCAGAUUGAAGAGUCAUAUUUCAGAUCAAGUUAUGCAGCAAGUAUAAACAAAAUAUCACCAAAGAUCACAGGAAGUUGCUGAGCAGUAGUUGCUCUAACGAUUGAAGUGGCUGAAAAACACUUAAACUUUUUUGCAAACUUAUUUAUUUAUGUACUAAUUGGAAUAUUCAAAUUUGAUUGAUGCAUUGUAAUAUUAGUAUGCAGUGGCUUCAAUGGAAUUUGAAAGACCAGUUGCACUGGGUUGAUCAGGAGUCACCAGCUCUUCUGAAAUGUCUUCAACCGCCUUUGGAAUUGCUAAAGCUUUUCUCGCAUCAACAAACUCUUGCAUGCCUCCAUAGGCUUCUGCUCGUCCACUCUUUGUGAUUCCAGGUGCAGAUCUCUUCAUUCUUGGAGUUCAUUCUUGGAUUUGGUGGAUGCAACUUGUCAUCAUCAUAGCUGAAGCUUCUGCUCCACUUGAAAGCCUUCAGAAGGCUGCACAACUAAAUUUCUCCAACAUCUGAAUCGAACUAAUUCACUUGAGUUAGUCGAUUCGCUGGUUCCUUCUUUUAUUUCUUUGUUCAAGUCUUUAUGUUGUCGAUGUGGUCCAUGUUUCCCGCAUCAUGAAAGGCGUGGUCCAUUGGCUAGUCAAUCUUGGAUAGACUGUAAAUUCUCUAUGUUUUUUUGGGUCUUGUAAUGAUAGAUCAGUCUAGCUCAGUAUCUAAUCCAGUUUAAUCUUUAAUGAAAUUUCUCCUUUUUCGGUUAAAAAAAAAAAAACUCUAACAUGCUAACUAACAUGUAAGCUCAGUAGGUUUAAAAGUGACAAUUAAAUGUGUAUUGCAAGAUUCUGUAAUUGGCUUUAGUUGUUGUUGUAGAGUUUAUGAUCAUUUACAUCACUAGUAUUUCAGAUUUAUGUACACUAUCUUGACCCGUUCUCAACCAGUAUUCUUCUGGCUAUCCAUGUCUUUGUGCAUGUAUUCGGUAUCUCAUUUCAGAUAGGGUCAUAAGAUCAUCACUCAUCUUUUUCAAUGCCCGAAAUGUGUUUUGGAUUUUGAUAUCAGUUGUUCUAUCUUUAUUAUCCGUCCCAAAUCUUUAUGUCAACUCAAGUCUCAAUUUUGGGUAGAAAGACAUCAAUGAAAUGAAUAUAUGGAAGGAACUGAGAAAAGUAGAAUUCAUAAAUUUAAAUAAGAUAAUUAGUCAAAGCAAAAUUAUGCACUUAUAUAUCAUGUUAAUGAACCAAUGCAACGUGAACAUACAACAACAUGCGCAUUUUCAAACAAGGAUAGAGUAUUUAAUAGAUGAUUAAUGGAUGAUCACGAAGUUGGCAUGUAUAGAUUAGAUUGAUGUCUUCAGAUUGAAAUGUGGCCUGCUAUAAUUAACAAGUGUCUUGUUACAGAUAUAGUAUAUUGUUGUACAGUCAAUUUUAAUUAAAUAUCAUAUAAUCCAUGAUAACUUCAAUCGAGCAAUUUUUUUUUAAAUUUUUACGAGUCAUAAGUACUAUUCAAGACAUAUUAAUUUAAACACAAGAAAUCAAGUUUUGAAGGAUCAUAAGAUUGUUUUUUUUUUUCAAAUCUGGUGUAGCAAUAAAUUAUUUUUGGAUCAAAUAAAUGAAUAAUUUUAUAUUUUUUAAAGAUAUAAAAUCAUAUAAAUAUUUUGUAGAUUACUUUAUCCAUAAUUUUGAUAUAAAUAAUUUAUUUCUAUAAUUUUAAUCUCUCCUGCAUAGCGAAUGAUAGUUGUUGAAAUUAUAAUGCUCUUGUGACUCUCCUUUAUUCUAAAAUGAUUAUUGUAAAGCUUGUUUUCAUCCUUAAUCAUGAUGACUUCCUAUCCCUAUUUGAAACCUAUGGCUUUCGAGGUUUUUUUUUUUUUACUUCAUCACUGAUUGCAUGUUCUAUCAAAUUAGCUGAAAAGAUAAGGACGAUUGAGGAUGAACUCAACGUUUAAUAAGAAGAAGUGAACUGCAUUAUGGAACUACGACUCAAAUGCGUCUCAUGUCCUGUUGUGUACAAGCAAAAGGAUGACCUCCACAAACUGAUGGGUGAAUCCAACAAACGAUCGAGAUGGAAGCACCUCUGCCGAGCACAUUCCACGCCUGGGAGCAUCCCCAUCAUCAUCAGACAAUAGUACAUAUGUUGACCUAUGUACGAGUAUACAACAUGAAAAGGGAAGCACUUAGUUAGCUUUCAACUCUUCUUCUUCCUCCUUUGAGAACUAACGGGGGAUGUCGAGUGAGCUAAUGGGGGAUGCAGGAGGCCACAUAAAGAAGAGCAGGUAAGGAGAUAGAGGAAAAAUGAUUCUGGAGGCCUUAGUAGUCAAGGACAUGGCACUAUCAUUGUCUCUAUCAUCCUCUCUUCCCCCACGUAUAAUUUAGCCCUGCUUUGGCUCAAUGCAUUAUGCAAUGACAAACCAACAAAGUGAGUUUUCAUAGGUACAUUUUGAUAUCGGCAUUUUGAUAUCCGUGAACAUGCAUUGGUACAUACAUUAAUAUCUAAAACCUUUAAUCAUAAAAUGUUUUGAUUUGAGUACUUGAAACUCAAAGAAUUUCAUGAAACAACAAUCUCAUAAAUUAAAUCACUAGAAAGAUUAAUUUAUACGACUACUAUGUAUCUGUUCUUCAUACUCUGCUACCAUACAACUUUAACGUAUGGAGAGUCACAAUAACGAACAUCUGCAUAUAUAGUUUUAUGAUCUUAACUUAGAGUUAAAUCAUAACCACAUAAAAUAGGUCAUAUAAAUCGAGUCAUAUAUAAUCAAUCAAAUAGAUUGAAUUAUACUUGAUUUAGAAAUUAAAUUAUAUUUGAUUAUAUGAGUUAAAUCAUAUCUAACUAUAUAUAGUUACAUUUGUUAAGUCAUACUUAAUCACAUUAAUUGAAUUAGAUGAUGUCUAAUUAUGGGCUAAAUUAUGUUUGAUCACAUAUAAUUGAUUAUGCUUGGUCAUACUAACUGAGUUAUACUUAAUCAUAUGUGCUAAGCCAUAACUGCCAAAUAAGUUAGACAAUCCUUGAUCACAUAGGAUGAGUUAUGUUUAACCAAAUAAGUUAGAUCAUACUUGAUCACAUAGAUUGAGUUAUGUCUAACUACAUAAAUUAUAUUAUAUUUGAUUACAUGGAUUGUGUUAUUUUGAACCACACAAAACGUACUUGCCUACAUAGAUUGAGUAAUACUUAAUCACGUCAAUUAGAUUAUACUUAACCACAUAGACUGGUUUGAUCAAUCAACUUAACUAAGGUUAAAUCUCGACUCAUACUUGUUAAAUUAGAUUUUAAUAUUUUUAAAAAUAUUUUAAAAUAUUAUAAAAUAAUAAUUAAUCAUAAAUCUAUUAAUUUUCAUAAAUUAACUAAUUUAGAUUUAUGUUCCAAAUUUAAAAGUAAUUAAAUCAUAAAAAUUCAUACUUAAUUAAUUAAAACAUAAAUAUACUUUCAAUAAUCAUUAUUUAUUAAUCAUAAAAUUUUAAAAUAAAAUUAUUAUUUUUAUAACAUAUAAAUUAAAAAUAAUUCUAAUAUUAAAUAUUUUAAAAAUAUAAAUGAAAAAAAUCUACUCUCCUCAUGAUCAUUUCCUCUGAGAACCUUUCCCCCUCGGAGCUAGGAACAACGAGGAAAGAUGAGCUUGAGCUCUCCAUAAACGAUAAAUAAUAAUUUUAAUAUUUUUUAAUCAUAUUAUAUAAAUAAAAUACUAAUUUAAAUAAAGUAAUACAUGAUUUAAAGUAAUUAAUUGAUGUUAGAAAAUUAUGGAUGAUUACAAAAGUCACGACUUUAUUGGAUGAUCUGCAUGAUUAUUAAACUAAUAAAUUAUCUGUAGUCAAUCAAGCUCACCUAACAAUUACAAGAUCUUUUGAAUGUUGAUUCUUGCAAUUUGUUAACUAUGUAAUCAAACAGAGAAGACGAAAUCCAGAAUAAGCUACAAGUUCCUGAAGUCUCAGAACACCUAACAUCCAUAAAAGGGAAGAGUUCAGCUGAAGCAUUGUGAAAACGAUGGAAAAAUAUAAUAUGAAAAUGCACCAAGGAAAAAGAAAACAUAAUCCAUCAAGACAAAUUUACGGCUUUCACAUGCAUGCAUGGCAAACAAAAAGGUCCAAUUAUGAUCUUAAAAACAUAAUUUUCAUGCAAAAAGAAAAAUUAAUGGUUCAAGUAAGACAUAUCUUAAUAAGAGUAAUUUAACUUUUAACCCACGAUACGAAGCCGAAUCACUACAUAGUAAUAAAAAACUCACAGUUAUUGGAAUGUGUUACUUAAAAACUGGGAGUAACUAUAGUAACAAUUUCCCCAUAAACCAAAAAUUUAUUUCUACUAUAUCUUUCCUUGACUAAGAAUAACAUCGAUCGGUAAUAAUGACAUAAUUCCCAUCUGCAGUAGAGCAAAGGCCAAGAACAAAAACCUGAGAAACCAAAUAAUUCUUUCUUAAAAAAAUUAAUUUCAUAAGUUCAUAUCAAGUUGUCAACCAAUAAAAUUAUCAAACGUAGUAUCAUUGUUGGAUCUGCGGGAUAUGGUAUAGCUUGUGGGUUGAGUCGGACAAACUAAUUGAUUACAAUUUAAAUUAUAAUUACUUUUUAAAUUUUAAAUUAUACUUUCAUGAAAUUAUAAUAAAAAUAUCUAACAAUUACCAUUGUGUUAUUAAAACAUAAUAUUAACUUAAAAUGUUGAAUAUCUAUUUUAUAAAUUUUAUUCAUAAGAAAAAUUUAUCCAUAUUUUUUAUAUAAAUAAUUUAUUCCUAUAAUUUUGUAUUUCUUGUGCUUAGCGACGGGUUAUACAGACUACAGAUAAAAGCGGGUUGUUUGUAUUAGGGUCCCGCUGCGGCUGCUCUCUUUCGUCCCACAAUGGCGACUGCGACGCUCCGCUCCGUGCUCCGCCGCAAUGGCCUCCUUCCCUUGUUCGAAACCCACCGCCUUCGAGAUCUCCUCUUCUUCUCCUCCUCUGUCGACCCUGCGGCCGCCGUAGGCGGCACCAUAUCUCCAGAUCCCCACUUCAUGGUGAAAUACCUCGUGAGCUCCUGCGGGUUCUCCCCCACCGAGGCAGCCAAGGUCUCUAAACCCCUUGCGCACCUCCGAGCCACUGAGAAACCCGACGCCGUCCUUAACUUCUUGAGAUCUCAGGGCUUCGACGGCGCCGGUAUCAGGAAGGUGAUAUCUGCGGAUCCCAGAUACUUAUGCUACAACGUGGAGAAGAACCUCGCCUCGAAGUUUCAGUUCUUACGCGAUUUGGGCCUAUCGGAGUCGGACAUCGUCGAUGUCAUCUGGAAUAACCAUGAGAUCCUCUGCCGCAACGUUCACCGUUCCCUUGUCCCCAAAUUGGAGAUGUGGGAAAGUCUCUUGGGAUCGAGAGAGCUUGUUCUCAAGCGUCUCAAGAAGACAGGAUGGUUUUUCUUCCCCAGCGUUGAGAAGACAUUGCAUCCUAACCUAAAGUUCUUGAGGGAUGAGUGCGGCAUUCCUGAAGAAAGGGUCUCUGUCGUCUUGAGAAGUCACCCAAAAUUAAUCUCACAGAAACCAGAGUCUCUCCGAGCUUUGGUGGCGAGAGCCGAUGAGCUGGGGAUGCCACGGCAAUCUCGGAUGUUCAUGUGGACACUUGAUGUUUUCCACAACGUAAGCAAAGAAAGGUUCGAGGCCAAGGUCGAGCUCAUGAGGAGCUUCGGGUGGUCCGAGUCGGAGUUUUCUUCUGCAGUCAUGAAAGCACCCACCUUCUUAUGCAUCUCCCUCGAUAUGUUGCGCAGAAAAGUGGAAUUUUUUAUCAAUGUAGUCGGUUUCACCCCUUCCUUCAUCGCCGACAAACCAAAUCUCUUGCUAUAUAGUCUGCAGAAGAGGGUAAUUCCUCGGUUUCGUGUCACAGAGAUGUUGAAAUCGAAGGGAUUGUGGACUGGACAAGGCAAGUUUACAUGCAUUCUCACAUUAUCAGAUACCAAAUUCACUGAGAAGUUUGUUCUCCCUCACAAAGAAAAUGUUCCUGAGCUGCUUGAUAUUUUGAGAGUUGCGGGCGUGUGUAAAGGAAAAUGAUACCUUUCAUUUGGUAUCGGAGGAUGAGAAAGGGCUUAGCCGAUGGUCUGAUUUGCCAACAACGAAGGUAGAUUAUUCCCCUAAUUUGAGAUUUUGGAAAUAGAAUGCAAAGGGCUUAUCAAAAGGUGUAUUGAGGUGUGGGAUUUUUCUUUAAUGGCAAGCUAGAUUAGCAUUGAUUAGAAACCAAAUUUGUUCUGUCUUACUGAUUGUUAGCUUAAAUUAUUUUCUGAUUGUCUUUGGCAUAGUAUUGUUGCUUUGUCUGUAAACUGCAUGUUUUAAAAAUUCUACUUAACAGUCCAACUGAGAUGACCUUCGGAUCUAUCGGAGGGGCUUUUGGCUUUUGUCCAAAUUAAUUCAAAUUCCGGAUGGGAUUUUGGUUGUUGGGUAAGUCUCAAAGAAUCAUAGUUUAGAUCAAGUUAUGCAGUAAUUAUAUACAAAAUAUCACCAAAGAUCACAGGAAGUUGCUGAGUGGUAGUUGGUCUAACUAUUUAAGUGACUGAAAAAAUCAUAGAACAGUAAAGAGUUGUUUCUGUAAUUUGUUUUGAAAUGAGUCAGUCACCCGAUUUAUGGAUUUGGAUAUGUCUAAGAAGGCUUCUUUGCAUACUUAUUUAUUUGUGUGCUAAUUGGAUAUUGAAAUUUGAUUUAUGCAUUGUAAUAUUAGUAUGCAGUGGCUUCAAUGGAGUUUGAAAGAGCAGUUGCAUUGGGUUGAUCAGGAGUCACCAGCUUUAGCACUAAUUUUGUUUCAAGGUUGUAUAGACUUUUCUCUGAGCAUCAAAACUUGAGUAUGCUAUUCUGAAAUGUCUUCUGCCUCAUUUGGAAUUGCUAAAGCUUUUCCUGCAUCAACAAAUUCUGACUUGCCUCCGGGGGCUUCAGCUCAUCCACCCUUUGUGAUUUGGUUAGCUGAUCUCUUCAUUCUUGGAGUCUGUGGUGUGGAGAGUAACUACAAGGAGCAUCCUCCAGAUACAUACUCUUACAAUCUCACAACUUCCUUGCAUAUAAAUCUUCACUUGACAAACCACCCAUAAGAGAAUUCCCAACAGAGACUAGAGUUAUAUCAGAGUCACAUUCAAUCAAUUUUGGAUUGGUAUUCACUUAUCUCACCUUGGAGUCAUUGCUCAGUUACUUGGUUCUUUCCGACAUUGUAACUAGUUGUCUAACUGGGUCAAAAAAAUAUUUGACCAUGUGCAUCAAACAUUUUUCUCAUCAGACCAUUUUUAUUGUAGAUUGACUUUUCACAAUGAGAACCCCCUUUGUACAUUGUUGUUACCUCAUUAGAUCAAGGGUUCAUCAUAAUCAACAAAAUUAUUUCCAUGGAAUGUCAAUCUUCACAUAUAUGCUGCAUCACAAUUAUCCUACGUGAAAUUUUAGGAAUAUAUACUUUGGAAGUCAUCUACAGAUUGUUCACAAUCAGAUAUAAAACUGCUGCCAUGCCACAAGACUUCAGUGAUCACUUUACCAAUUUGGAUAGUUGUUCUACCCCAUUUGGGUCUCACAGUAAUGCAACGAACACUCACCAUCCCACAACAUUUGCGAUCAAUGGUGUUGUCCUAAAACGUUCCAUCAAGAGAAGAUACAUAAUCACAAUGCUUAUGCUUACAGCAUUAUCCGUAGCUACAGUCUACAGUGAUUUCUCCAUCAUAACAACAAUAAGUUAAUGUGCUGAAUAAAUUGACAAUAACUACUACUCUUACUUCCACCAUGAUCGUUGCAAUGUAUUGAGGAUUUUAACUGUCAUGUCAAUCAACAAAAAAUACAAAUAAUGGCAGUGCAACAUACCAUCGCUAUAUCUAGUACUGCAUAUCUCAUUAGAGAGAAUCCCCAUCUCAAUCAACUCUUGUAUUCAGUCAUAUGCCAAUGUAGUGCUCAUCUCCAGCCACAAAUUCUAAAAAUCAUGCUAGUGAAUAAAGCAAAUGUAAGUUCUGGCAACAUUACAUUCCCUUCUCUUUCUCUUUUGUCUUUCCCUGCCACUACCUUCCCCUCACCAUGACCUUUGCAGCUAUCCGCCAAAAGCUCUAAACCUGGAUGCCUUUAAUGACAUGGAGCAAUUAGAAAUGUGGAAGAAAGAGAAAAACAACCAUGUCUUCCAUGCAGACUCAGUAUUACUAGGUUGCUCUCAAAUUGAGAAACCAUCAGGAUAUUGGAGAAUCUAAUGUCAACUUUCUCCUUAAAUUCCCUCUUUUCCUCAAAUAGGUUUCCAAAAUCAGAACUUUACUGUAGACAUCAUCAAUUGCAUACAAGUCCAUGCUACAAUUACUAGCAAAGAAAUAGUAUACUUUCUAUGUGCAGCUAAGAUCCAACACAAGUCUAUUCUUGUCAAUCAUAUUGACAAGAUGUUUAAGUCGCUCAGGAUUCAUUUUCCCAUCGCUGAAAAUAUACUGCAAGAGAGUAACAAGUAUUGGUGGUUUAGGCCCAACAAAUGGGAAUAAAUCAGUACACAAUUUUCAACAGACAAAGUGCCUGCAUAACUACAGCUGAAUUCUGAAGAUUUUGGACGAUCAGGAAAUUGAGGUUGUCCCCCAACUUUGCCACCUAUAUUUUCGGCUCCUAAUUAUUUUUAUAUAUUUAUAAAAGUGAGAAAGUAGCUCUUGGUAUCGGAAUUCAACAUAUAUAAGCAUUUAAUAGAACUAGUAAUCAAAAUAUGAUGUAAUCAACAAAAGACAUAAAAUCAAUAAGAAAUUUCUAUUGUAUAUUUUGUAUAUAAAUAAAGCAUUAUCUAAAAAUAAACUUUUCAGUUCUUUUUACUAUUUAUACUGUGUAUAUAUGCCAAGCGAAAGAAUAAAAGACAUUCUACACUAAGGAGGUAUGUUCAUGUCCAAAUGCACAAGGGGAUUCUUGACAAGAGCCGUAUCCCUUCUGGUAUGUUGAAUUGAUAGCUAUAAAUAAGUCAUUAAACUAUCAAUGUGUUACAUAAAAAAGGAUGAAUCAAUAGAGUUCUCUUAACAUUCUUUCUUUUUUCCUCGAUAAUCAUCUUUUGAUCUGGGAGUUGGUUUAGGCUUAUGAAUGUGAUUGGAUUGCGAACAUUCUACAUGCAAGUAAAUAAAUACAUACCGACGUAACAAUCACAUGACUUGCCCCUUCUUCAAGAUAAUUCAUGGCAUUAGAUCCCACCUCCAACUUGCAUACCACCUACAGUUACAAUUCAACAAAGCAAGAAAACAUUAAAGUAGAAACUUGAAUUCGAAAAAAAGAAGAACUACAAAGAGAAAGGAAAAGACAUGACUUGAAUGAUAAUGCGUCAAAUCUUUAUGUCGACCUACAUAAGUCUCCAAUUUGGUAAGAUGGACAUUGAUGAAAUGAACGUAGAAGGAACUGAGAAAAGCAAAAUUCAUAAAUUUGAAGAAGACAAGUUAUUAAAGUAAAAUUAUGCACUUAUACCAUGUUAAUGAACCGUGACAAUGUGAACAUACAACAAAAUGCACAUUUACACACGAAGGAUAAGAUACCUAUGGAUGAUCACGAAGUUACCAGGGUAAGCACGAAGGGCCUCGAAGGCCGCAGAUUGGCUUGCGGCGUCGGCGCCAAGCAUUAUGACAUGGCCACCCUUGAGCCCGUCCUUCUUGUACAGAUUCGCAAACUCUGCCGGCAACUUCUCCGACUCGAAGUUGGUCACCAUGUCCGACGCGCCGCCGUCUGUCGAAUCACGAAGCGUGGAUCCCACGAUUUGUUUCACUUUAUCCUACCACUUUGGAUCUCGUUCUACUCAGCGGUGCCAAGAGAACCCGAGGAGAAAGCAAGAGAAGAAUGCGCAGUACCUUGUGGAUGUCGAUGCAGGGGCGGAACCGGACGGUACAGCUGAUCGAGCGAGGCUUGCUGUGCUUCCUCCCCAUCCUCCAAUGGCUCGCGGGGUGGGAAGAAGACAACGGGUUGCGAAGAGGGAUCGGGGUCGAAGGAGACGACCGGAGACUAGGGAGCGUUCGAGUAGUCAGUGGCAUCCCUUCGGGUGGAGCUGCGAUGAGGAGAGAGGAGGUGGUGGCGGACGCGGGCGACGUAGCGGCGUAAGUGCGGGGGUUGGCGCGGCGAUACCAGCGAUUCCACGAACAAUGUGAUCAAGUGGAAGAGAUCAUAUGCACGGGGAUACACUUUUGAUCAAGACCGUUCAUUUCUAGAAUAACGGUCGGAUGCUCAUCCUCAACUCGGUCCCGCGUGGUGUUUACUGUGCAUGUAUGAUCCACUUCCGUGGCGCUUUGAGACGCGUGCACGGUAUAGAUUGAUGCCUCCAAUUUGUGUCCUGAAAUGUGUUGUGCUUCAAUUAACAAUAUAUUAAUGCACAGUCAAAUUUAACUAUAACAUAUGUUAAGCAUUAUCAACUUUAAUCAAGAAUUUUUACUACAUUUCUACAUGUCAUAAAUAUUAAUUAAGGUAUAUUAAUUCAGACAAAAAAAUCAACACAAAAUUUUUUUUUUCGCUUUGGCAAUUAAUAAUUUUAUAUUUUAAAGUGUGAGUGAUUAGGAUGAUUUAUAAAAAAAACCUAUAAUUUUAAGAUUUUUUUAAUAGCACUUCAUUUUUACCUUAUAACAUAGAAAAUUUUUAUAUAUAGGCUUGGCUCAAUUUUCAGGCAUAACUGGUACAUUCCAAAAUAACUAUGACUCUGACAUCUUUACCCUUGGCCAUGAACCUCCUUUGAAUUUUGGAUCGGCUUAACUCUUUUUAUUUUCUAAGUAUUUCGAUAUAAUUAUCAUUUCAUUAUAUAAUGAUAAUUAAUAUUAUAUUAAUGGAGUAACAAUGUAUCUCCACUUAUUUCAAACUAUUAUAUGUUAGUCCUGGCUUUUUUUUCUUAUCAAUGAUCAUAAUAUGUAAUGAUCCUUUUAUUUUAUUUUAUUUUAUGCGAGAGUCAAGAACCAAUAUUACUAGACAUAAGAUAGAGUAGGGCAAUUGAUGAGAUGAAGAUACCAAGAAGCAUAUAAGCAUAUAAAAAGUGAUAAUAAGUUGUGAUUGUUGAAUCUCGGAUUUUGAUGAUGAAACUAAUUGAUUGUAUUUAGAUGUUUAAUUGUAUUUUGAGUGAUGCAGGUCUACUCGAUCAGGAUUAGACAGUUAACACGGGAGGAAUUGACGUUGCGCCGGAGGAGAUCACGUUAGGAUAUUGGAUGGCAGAAGGCUUCGGACGUCGGGCAUCGGGCCAAGAGCGGAAUUGCGCCAAGGAUAUCGGGGUUGCAGAGGUCAACCGCCGAUUGGGCAACAAGCCGCAAGAGAGGACAAUGAGCUGAAGAAUCGGACGAAGCGCUAACCAAUGAUGUGUCGGGCAACAGAAUGUCAAUUCGCGUUGAAAUAAUUGUCUAGAUCAAAGUAGAGUUUUGGCUUGUGUGUGCAGGAUUAACUACGAUAACGACGAAGAUAUAAAGCGAAACAAAGUGUCGGAGUCAAGCGCGAAGGAUUUGUUGCGAGUUUGAGAGUUCGACGGAAGUCCGAAGGUUCGUCGGGAAUGUUGCCGGAACUAGCCGAGAAUGAGUAGGGAGCUUGCCGAAAGGUUUUUCGGAAGCUCGCCGGAAGGUUCGUUGGAAGUUCGCGGAGCUCACCGAGAAAGAUCGGAGCUUGCCGAAGAAGCUAGUUGGAACUCGCCAAGAUCAAAUUGUGAAGUCUAGGAGCUUGCCGGGAGUCCGCAGAAUGGUUUUCGAGAGUUCGUCGGAAGACCGCCGGAAGUUUGCCGGAAGCUCACCGGAAAAAGUCUUGAAUUGCAGACUUUGUAAUAGCUUAGGAAAUGUCUUUAAAUUCGUAGUUAGCACGUUAAUUAGGGUUAGGAUUAGGUGUUAAUCCUAUAAUCCAAGUAGGGGCCAAUUGAGCUUGAGUUCGGACUGGUUUGAGCCAAGUUUGGAGCCCAACCAGUGAGCUGAAAUAGUGUAGGCGGUGGCACCGCCCAGAACCCGAGAACUGAGCGAUGGCACCGCUAGCCUCGGGAACCCAAGAGAAUUCAAAAUUUGGAGCCUAAAUUUGAAUCCUCUUGGGGCCUAUAAAUACCCCUCAAUUCUCAACUGAGAAGACAACAUUUGAGAAAGCAAAUAUAUUGAGAUAAAAGUCUUAGAGAAGUCUUUAGCAAGUCUUGUUCUCAAUUUUUGAGUGUUCACCUCCUUCUUUCUCUUAAAAAAUUUGUAAGAGUGUGAACCAUUUGCAAAAGGUUGUAAGAGGGGUAUUUGUCCUUCCCCUUCAAAAAGAUUUGUUAGUGGAAGUUGGGAGCCUCAUUGAAGAAGGUUUCGCAAGUCAAUGUAGGUCAUUUGACCGAACCACUUUAAAUUGACGUGUUCUCUGGUUUGCAUUUACUUAUUGCUAUUUACCUUACUGCAAACCUUCGUACGUACUUUACUUUCUCGUUACUUUUGCUGCACACCUUUACGAAUACGCUUAAGUUAAGCACUUUCGAGUUCGAUUUUUAUCGUACGAAAUAUUUUUCAAAACCGACGUUUUAAUCUACUGCACUAAUUCACCCCCCACCCCUCUUAGUGCCGCUUCGAUCCUAACAGUGGUAAGAUAAUCAUUCUUAAAAUAAUAUUUAUAUAAAAUUUUAAAACUUAGAGCGUUGUAGGAGACAAACAUGUGUGAUUUUCUAAAAACAGAUAAAAUUAUAUAAAUAUUAUAUAGAUAAUUUUAUCCAUAUUUUUAUAUAUAAAUAAUUUAUUCCUGUAAUUUUGGUUACACAAGCUACAUAUAGGAAUUAGGGUUUCGCUACAGGUGCUAUCUUUUGUCCCACAAUGGCGGCUGUUACGAUCCGCUCCGUACUCCGCCGCAAUAGCCUUCUGCCCCUGUUCGAAACGUGCCGCCUUCGAGAUCUCUUCUUCUUCUCCUCCUCUGUCGACCCUGCCGCCGCUGUAGGCGUCACCAUAUCUCCAGAUCCCAACUUCAUGGUGGAAUACCUCGUGAACUCCUGUGGGUUCUCCCCCCUCCGAGGCAGCCAAGUUCUCUAAACCCCUUGCGCACCUCCGAUCCACCGAGAAACCAGACGCCGUCCUUAACUUCAUGAGAUCUCAGGGCUUCGACGGCGCCGGUAUCAGGAAGGUGAUAUCUGGGGAUCCCAGAUACUUAUGCUGCAACGUGGAGAAGAACCUCACCCCGAAGUUUCAGUUCUUACGCGAUUUGGGCCUAUCGGAGUCUGACAUCGUCGAUGUCAUCCGGAAUAACAAUGAGAUCCUCUGCCGCAACGUUCACCGUUCCUUCGUCCCCAGAUUGGAGUUGUGGGAAAGUAUCUUGGGAUCGAGAGAGCUUGUUCUCAAGCAUCUCAAGAAGACAGGAUGGUUUUUCUUUCCCAGCGUUGAGAAGACAUUGCAUCCUAACCUAAAAUUCUUGAGGGAUGAGUGCGGCAUUCCUGAAGAAAGGCUCUCUCUCGUCUUGAGAAGUCACCCACAAUUAAUCUCACAGAAACCAGACUCUCUCCGAGCUUUGGUGGCGAGAGCCGAUGAGCUGGGGAUGCCACGGCAAUCUCGGAUGUUCAUGUGGACACUUAAUAUUCUCCAGAGGGUAAGCAGAGAAAGGUUCGAGGCCAAGGUCGAGCUCAUGAGGUUUUUCGGGUGGUCGGUGUCGGAGUUUUCUUCUGCAGUCAGGAAAAAUCCCACUUUCUUAGGCAUUUCCCUCGAUAUGAUGUGGAGAAAAGUGGAUUUUUUUUAUCAAUGUGGUCGGUUGCACCCCUUCCUUCAUCGCCGACAAAUCAAAUCUCUUGCUAUUUAGUCUGCAGAAGAGGGUAAUUCCUCGGUUUCGUGUCACAGAGAUGUUGAAAUCGAAAGGAUUGUGGACUGGACAAGGCUAGUUUACAUGCAUUCUCACAUUAUCAGACACCAAGUUCAUUGAGAAGUUUGUUCUCCCUCACAAAGAAAGCUUGAUAUUUUGGGAGUUGUGGGCGUGUGUAAAGGAAAAUGAUACCUUUCAUUUGGUAUCGGAGGCUGAGAAAGGGCUUAGCUGAUGGUCUAAUUUGUCCACGACAAAAGGUAGAUUAUUCCCCUAAUUUGAGAUUUGGGAAUUUUCUGCAAAGGGCUUAUCUAAAGGUCCAUUUAGGUGUGGGAUUUUUCUUUUAUGACAAGCUAGCUAGGUUAACAUUGAUUAUAAAUCAAAUUUGUUCUGUCUUACUGAUUGCUAGCUUAAAUUAUUUUCUGAUUGUCUUUGGCAUAGUAUUGUUGCUUUGUACGUUAGCUGCAAGUUUUAAAAUUUCUACCUAACAGUCCAACUGAGAUGACCUUCGGAUCUAUCGUAGGGACAUUUGGCUUUUGUCCAAAUUAAUUCCAAUUCCGGAUGGGAUUUUGGUUGUUGGGUAAGUCUCAAAGAGUCCUAUUUUAGAUCAACUUAUGCAGUAAGUAUAUACAAAAUAUCACCAAAGAUCACAGGAAGUUGCUGAGUAGUAGUUGCUCUAACGAUUUAAGUGGCUGAAAAAAUCAUAGAACAGUAAAGAGUUGUUUCUGUAAUUUGUUUUGAAAUGAGUCGUCACCCGAUUUAUGGAUUUGGAUAUGUCUAAGAAGGCUUCUUUGCAUACUUAUUUAUUUGUGUGCUAAUUGGAUAUUUAAGUUUAAUUUAUGCAUUGUAGUAUUAGUGUGCAGUUGCUUCAAUGGAGUUUGAAAGAGCAGUUGCAUUGGGCUGAUCAGGAGUCACCAGCUUUAGUACUAACUUUGCUUCUGGGUUGUAUGGACUUUUCUCAGAGCAUCAAGACUUUGAGUAUGCUAUCCUAAAAUUUCUUCAGCCUCAUUUGGAAUUGCUAAAGCUUUUCCUGCAUCAAAAAGUCGAUUAUGAAAUCUUGAUAUGUGAGCCUCCUCCAAUAGUUGCAUCUUUAUUGAAUGAAAAUAUCUUUAUUGAAUGAUUUUCAAGAACACAAAAUCGUUUAUGAAAUAUAAUAAAAUCAUUCUUAGCUUAAAAUUUUUUUAGUUAAGAUCCCUAAGCUAUCAAAUUAGCUAUUAUCUGCAGAUGAAUAUUUUUCUUUUGAUUUUUUUUAUCCUUUCUACAAAAAAUAAUUGUACCAUUAGACAUAUUUAUUUGCCUCAAAUAAAAGUUCUAGCUUUAUAUUUACCAAAUUUGUCAUCAUAAUUUUUUUAAAAUAUUCAUAUAGGUUAUAAGAUUUAAAAAAAUUUUAUUCAAGACAUCAACAAUUAUAUUAGCCUUCCCAAGAUGAUCUUUAGGAAGUUUGAUGAUCUUCUCUAUCCCAUAUUUAAAUUAUUCUAAGUGAAAAUAUACUUGAAAUCUUAUUUAAGAUUUCAAAAGUAUAUCCAUAAAGAUAAUACCUUUAAAGUUUUAGUGCGAAAAUGUUAGAUAUUAGUUUAAGUUAUGAGUAAGAUAAGUUUAUUUCAUGAGGCUUUAAUUAUUUAUGUACAUAAGAAUUAUUUUUUAUUUUAUAUUAGAACAUAACUAAGUCUUUGAAGUGAGGUGUUACUAUACAUUACAAGACCUCAUAAAGAUCAGAAUAAUAGCUAAUUUCUCUUUCAAUUCUUCAAAACUUUAUUGACACAAUUUUACAUUCUUGUGUGUUAAUUUGGUUAAAGGUAUUGUUAUUUUUUAAAGAUCUUUUACAAAUCUUUUACAAUAUCCAAUCAUACCCAAUAAGACUUUAAACUUUGAAACAUUAAGAGGUUGUUUCCAAUUCAUCAUAGUUUCAAUUUUUUGGGGGCCAAUAGACAUAUCACACUAGAAAUUAUAUGACCAAGAAAUAUAACCUUAUUGAGAUACAAAUUGAAGUUAUUAAAUUUGACAUACAGUUUCUCUUGUCUUAAGACUUUUAAAAUUUGUCCUUAGAUAGUGUUUAUAUUUUGUUAUAUUUCCUAUUUUUGAAGUAGAUCAAAAUGUUAUCAUUGAAUAUAAUUAUAAAUUUAUCAAAAUAAGAGUGGAAUCACUUAGAUCCAUAAAAGCAACUAGUACAUUUGUGUAUUCGAAAGAUAUUACUAAAAAUUUAUAAUAAUCAUAUCUUAUUCUGAAAAUAAUUUGAUGUAUUUCUCAAUCCCUCUUAUCUUUAGUUGAUAAUACUCAAAUCUCAAAUCAAUUUUUGAGUAUACUUGAGUGCUUAAAGCUGAUUAAAUAGUUCAUCUAUCCGAGAAAAAAAAUAUUUAUUUUUUAUGAUCACUUGGUUGAGUUCUCUUUAAUCGAUGCGUAGGAUCCAUCAUUUUUCUUUAUAAACAGGUGAUGGAAACCCCAAGAUAAUAUAUUAGAUCGAAUAAAGCCAUUAUCUAAAAGUUCAUGAAUAUGCUUUUUUAACUCUAACUCAAUUGGUCUCAUUCUAUUAAGAAUUUUGGAAAUAGGUGUAGUGUCAAGUAGAAGGUCAAUUAUAAAUUCAAUUUACUUGUUCGGAUAAUCUAAGUAAAUCUUUAAGAAAAUCAUAUGAAAAAUCUUAUACAAAAGAGAUAUCUUUUAAUAUAAUAAAAAUAAAACUAAGUACUCUCAAUAUCCUUUCAAUAAUAGUUAGUAGCACUAAAAGUUGAAAUAAUAUGAUAGAGCUUUUCUUGAAGCCCAAUGAACUAAAUGAAUGUUUGAUAUUGGGGUGAGAAAAUAACAAUUUUUUGAAAAUAAUCAAUAUUAUGAAACUCUAGUAGAAUAAAGUCUACUAACAAAUCAUGACUUUCAAUAAUAACAACACAAUUUCUAAAUAAUUGAUUAGUUAUCAAAGAGUUUUUAAUUAGUGUUGCUAUUAACAAUGCAUUACUAGUUGUUUUAGGAUUCUUAUGUAGUCUCUUAAUAAAAUAAUAUGAUAUAAAAAAUAUAUGGAACCAGAAUCUAUAAGCAUAUAAUAGACAUACCAUGGAGUAUAAUUAUACCUUGAAUGAUAAAUCUUGAGGCUUCAACAUCUUAACAGGUGAGUACAUAGUUUCAAUUGAUCUCCCCUUUUAUGUUUUGACUAUUACUAUUCAUAUGUUUGCUUUGGAGUUUGACGUUGGCGUUGUUUCUAUAGGUUGUCAUUCAACAAGUGUCUUGGUUACUGACAAAAGGCAUAUAUGUUGUCCCAUGGGGCGUGAGGUGAAAAUAUGAUCAAUCUUUUCAUAUAUAUAACAACUUAGGACAACUUGAUUACUAAGAGCUCGUAUAUAGUAAUGUCAAGAUUAUCUGCUCUUGCCCUUCUUUGAUGGUCCAAAAUAUGAUCCCCUAUAUAUAGAUGGUACAACACUAAAAGGUAACUUUUGAGUCUUUAUCUAUUAUAAUUCAUUAUCCAAUUUUUUCACCACUAGAGUUAGAUUGAGUACUUCAGUAUAUAUUAGUAAAAUUAAUACAAUAACAGAUUUUUCAAUUGAUGGAUGAAAUCUACUCUCAAAAAGAUAAGUCUUUUAAUAUUUAUUAAAGAUAAUAUAUGAAGAGAACUCGACUAGCUCAAUGAAAUAAUAAUCAUAUUUCAUCAUAAUCCUACUUUCCUAAUGAAUGCUAACGAACUCAUAUUGCUUUUCGAAACGAACCAAAUUAGGAAAGAACUACUUUAUUUUUAAAUUUCUCCUUUCCUAAAUGAAAAAAAUAGAUGACAUCUUCUAGUUUUCUUUGUGUUCAAUAGUUUUAAAUAUUUUCUUCACUUGAAGGAUCUAACGUUCUACAAGAUUAGAUCUAGUUUGUUCUAGAAAAUAAUUAGUCUCAAUUUCUUAAGGUGAUCUAAAUUGUUAUUUUUAUCUCGCUAAGCUUCAUCUCACUUCUUUUGAUUCUCAAAAUAGCCUCUUAUAAUAUUAAGAAUUUCGUGUACAUCAUCUAGAGUAUUGGCAAGUGCUGAAAAAUGAGAUGCAUUUUAAGGUGUCCAGAAAGUUAGCACAUAAUCAGUCAUAGGUGUAUGUGAGGAUUAAGUUUGUUUCAAAGUGAUAGGUGUAUGUGAGGAUUAAGUUUGUUUCAAAAUACGUAAAACUUUCAAGUUAAUAUUUGCUAUACAUCUUUCGGAGUCAUAUGCCAAUAGCAUUAUGACCAUAAAUAUCUCGAGCAAUAUGAUUAUUAUUUACUUAAAUUGGAUUCAUAUCUCGUAUAAUAAGUUAAAAAAUAAUCAUUGAAUAUCUAUUAACCCUAAAUAAAGCAAUGAUAUCAUAAAAAAAGCACAUCCUAUAUACUUUUUUUGAAUGAUUACAACAUCUUUCUAUAUAUACAUCACUAGCCAAAUUAAAAAAAAUAUUUUAUUAAUAUAUAAAUUAUAAAUAUUUAUUAUAAUUUAUUUAUUCAUAAAAAUAAAAGUCAAAAGUUAGGUUUUAUAAAGAAAGAUAAAUCAAAAAGAAAAUCCAACUAGCUGUACCUAGCGAAAAAGAUAUUUUUGCUCUCUAUUAGAAUUCGAUUUAGUAUUAUUAUAAGAUUGUUUUGAAAAUUAAAAAUAAAAUAAUAAAAUUUUAAUAUGUUGAGUAGGAAACCUUAUAAGUUAAAUGUAACAUAAAUACAUAUCCAAAACAUGCUCAAAUAUGCACUCCCAUAACAACAAAUGGAAAAGUUUAUGUUUUCCUAAUAGUAAAUAGAUACAAAUACAUAUUGUGAUAUCAUUCACCUACUAAGGUAGAUAGAUAUUUUCAGUGUCACUAAUAUUAAAAAAAUAUCAAUUAAUUCUCAAUUGAUUUGAACCAUGACUCAACAUUUAACUCAAUUUAACUAGUACAUAACUAAAAUCGAUAUCUUAUUUUUAUUUAAUCGAUUUGAACCACCCCUUUAGAUUAGAUUUUAUUUAAUUUAGGUUAAAUAGAUUUAAAUAAGUUAAAUCGGUUUGAAAUUCUCCAGAUCAAAACUGAUUAAAUGUAAUUUGAUUCAGGAUAAUAAGAUAGAUUAUACAAUACUAAGUUAGAUUGAGCUAGCCUAAAUCAUAUACACUGCGUAUGUUUGUGCAUACAUCAUCAAAUUAUAGUCAAAAUAAUUAAUCAUUAAUAUUGAGUCAUUAAAAUAUAAUAAAUAAUAAUAGAUCCAAAAAGAUAAAAUUAUAUUAGGGAGAAAAUAACGUUUUUAUUCGACUAUUAUAUAAAUCUAAUAGAAAUCAAAUAUUACAAUUAGCAUGCAAGAAAAAAUUUAAUUUUAUAUAUAGUAUGAAUAAUUAAAAUAUAUUAUUAAUUAAAAAUAAUUUUUUAAAUACUUAACAGCAUGGAAGAAAAUUUUAUAAAUUGUAUAUAGCAUGAAUAAUUAUAAUAUAUUUUAAUAUAAAAAUAAAAUUUUAAGUACUUGAAUGAAUAUAAGAAAAUUUUAGAAACUGCACAUAAUAUAAAUAAUUGUAAUACAUCUCAAUUCAAAAAUAUUUUUUAAAAAAAAUUAAAUAUAUAAAGAAUAUUUAUUUUUUUUUAAAUACAAGAGAACCUAUUCUUAUGUAAAUUCUUGUUCCUCACACAAUAAAAAAUGGAGAAACUCCUCCCCGCCCUUCAAGGUAAUAAUUUUUAUUUUUAUUUAAUUUAUUGAUAAAAAAUAACAACAUUUAACCUAAAGUAUAAAAUAUUUAUUUUAUAAAUUUUAUUCCCUAGAAAUUAAAAAAAAAAUUAUACUGAAAGAUUUGAUUACAAAUGAAACGGUGAAAAUAGUAUCUUGUAGAUCACUUUAUCUAUUUGUUUGAUAUAAAUAAUUUAUCCUGUAAUUUUGUAUUUCUUGUGCAUAGCGAAGAAGGUUACACACGCUGCAUAUAGGAAUUAGGGUUUCGCUACGGGUGCUAUCAUUUGUCCCACAAUGGCGGCUGCGACGCUCCGCUCCGUACACCGCCACAAUAUCCUUCUGCCCUUCUUCAAAACCUGCCGCCUUCGAGAUCUCUUCUUCUUCUCCUCCUCUGUCGACCCUGCCCCCGCUGUAGGCGUCACCAUUUCUCCAGAUCCCAACUUCAUGGUGGAAUACCUCGUGAACUCCUGUGGGUUCUCCCCCUCCGAGGCAGCCAAGUUCUCUAAACCCCUUGCGCGCCUCCGAUCCACCGAGAAACCCGACGCCGUCGUUCACUUCAUGAGAUCUCAGGGCUUCGAUGGCGCCGGUAUCAGAAAGGUGAUAUCUCGAAAUCCCAGUCACCUAUGCGUGAACGUGGAGAAGAACUUGGCCCCGAAGUUUCAGUUCUUACGCGAUUUGGGCUUAUCGGAGUCGGAUAUCGCCGAUGCCAUCCUGAAGAACGAUUUCAUCCUGCGCCUCGACGUUCACCGUUCCUUGGUCCCCAGAUUGGAGAUGUGGGAAAGUAUCUUGGGAUCGAGAGAGCUCGUUCUCAAGCAUCUCAAGAAGACAAGAUGGUUUUUCUUCUCCAGCGUUGAGAAGACAUUGAAUCCUAACCUAAAGUUCUUGAGGGAUGAGUGCGGCAUUCCUGAAGAAAGGGUCUCUGUCGUCUUGAGAAGUCGCCCACAAUUAAUCUCACAGAAACCAGAGUCUCUCCGAGCUUUGGUGGCGAGAGCCGAUGAGCUGGGGAUGCCACGGCAAUCUCGGAUGUUCGUGCGGACACUUAAUGCUCUCCACUACGUAACCCAAGAAAGGUUCGAGGCCAAGUUCGAGCUCAUGAGGAGCUUCGGGUGGUCGGAGUCGGAGUUUUCUUCUGCUGUCAGGAAAGCACCCACCUUCAUAGGCAUGUCCCUCGAUAUGUUUCGCAGAAAAGUGGAUUUUUUUAUCAAUGUGGUCGGUUACACCCCUUCCUUCAUCGCCGACAAAUCAUCUCUCUUGCUAUUUAGUCUGCAGAAGAGGGUCAUUCCGCGGUUUCGUGUGACGGAAAUGUUGAAAUUGAAAGGGUUGUGGACUGGAAAAUACAAGUUUACAUCGAUUCUCUUAUUCACAGAUACCAAAUUCAUGGAGAAGUUUGUUCUCCCUCACAAAGAAAACGUUCCUGAGCUGCUUGAUAUUUUGAGAGUUGCUGGCACCUGGAAAGGAAAUUAUACCUUGCAUUUGGCAUCGGAGGAUGAGGAAGGGCUUAGCUGAUGGUCUAAUUUGUGACGACGAAGGUAGAUUAUUCCCCUAAUUUGAGAUUUUGGAAAUAGAAUGCAAAGGGCUUAUCAAAAGGUGAAUUGAGGUGUGGGAUUUUUCUUUUAUGACAAGCUAGAUUAGCAUUGAUUAGAAAUCAAAUUUGUUCUGUCUUACUGAUUGUUAGCUUAAAUUGUUUUCUGAAUGUCUUUGGCAUAGUAUUGUUGGUCUGUCUGUAAACUGCAUGUUUUAGAAAUUCUACAUGACAGUCCAACUGAGAUGACCUUUGGAUCUAUCGUAGGGACUUUUGGAUUUUGUUUGGGUAAGUCUUGAAGGGUCAUAUUUCAGAUCAAGUUAUGCAGGAUAUAGAAAUUAUCACCAAAGAUCUUAAUUCCAAUUCCGGAUUGGUUUUUGUUUGGGUAAGUCUUGAAGAGUCAUAUUUCAGAUCAAGUUAUGCAGGAUAUAGAAAUUAUCACCAAAGAUCACAAGAAAUUGUUGAGUGGUAGUUACUCUAAUGAUUUAAGUGGCGAAAAAAACUUAAAACACCAAAGAGUUGUUUCUUUAAUUUGUUUUUAAAUCAGUCAUCACCCAAUUUAUUGAUUUGGAUAUAUCUAAGAAGGUGUUAUCUCUUGUCAGUCGAGGCUUCUUUGCAAACUUAUUUAUUUAUGUACUAAUUGGAAUAUUUAAAUUUGAUUUUUGCAUUGUAAUAUUAGUAUGCAGUGGCUUCAAUGGAAUUUGAAAGACCAGUUGCACUGGGUUGAUCAGGAGUCACCAGCUCUUCUGAAAUGUCUUCAACCUCCUUUGGAAUUGCUAAAGCUUUUCACGCAUCAACAAACUCUUGCAUGCCUCCAUAGGCUUCUGCUCGUCCACUCUUUGUGAUUCCAGGUGCAGAUCUCUUCAUUCUUGGAGUUCAUUCUUGGAUUCGGUGGAUGCAACUUUUCAUCAUCAUAGCUGAAGCUUCUGCUCUACUCGAAAGCUUUCGGAAGGCUGUACAACUAAAUUUCUCCAACAUCUGAAUCGAACUAAUUCCCUUGAGUUAGUCGAUUCGCUGGUUCCUUCUUUUAUUUCUUUGUUCAAGUCUUUAUGUUGUCGAUGUGGUCCAUGUUUCCCGUGUCAUGAAAGGCGUGGUCCAUUGGCUAGUCAAUCUCAGAAGGACUGUAAAUUCUCUAUGUUUUGUGGGUCUUGUAAUGAUAGAUCAGUCUAGCUCAUUAUCUAAUCCACUUUAAUCUUUUAUGAAAUUUCUCCUUUUUUGGUAAAAAUAAACAAACUCUAACAUGCAAACUAACAUGUAAGCUCAGAAGGUUUAAAAGUGACAAUUAAAUGUGUAUUGCAAGAUUCGGUAAUUGGCUUUAUUUCUUGUUGUAGAGUUUAUGAUCAUUUACGUCACUAGUAUUUCUUAUUUAUGCACACUAUCUUGACCCGUUCUCAACGAGUAUUUUUCUGGCUAUCCGUGCCUUUUUGUAUGUAUUCAGUGUUUUGAAUUUUGAUAUCAGUUGAUCCCUCUUUAUUCUAUUCUUUGUCUUAGAUAAUAAUGUGUCUCUAUUUUGUUAAGACAGACAUUAGUGAAAUGAAUAUAUGGAAGGAACUGAGAAAAGCAGAAUUCAUAAUUUUAAAUAAGACAAGUCAUCAAAGCAAAAUUAUGCACUUAUAUCAUGUUAAUGAACCAAUGCAACGUGAGCAUACAACAUACGCAUUUUCAAACAAAGGAUACGAUAUUUAUUGAUGAUCACGAAAUUGGCAUAUAUAGAUUGAUGUCUCCAGAUUGAAAUGUGGCCUGCUGUAAUUAACAGGUGUUAUGCUACAGAUAUACUAUAUUGAUGUAUGGUUAAUUUAAUUAAAUAUCAUAUAAUCCAUGAUCAACUUCAAUCUUGAUUUUUUUUUGAAUUUUUACGAGUCAUAAAUACUAUUCAAGACAUAUUAAUUUAAACAAAAGAAAUCAAGUUUUAAAGGAUUAUAGGAUUGUUUUUUUUUCAAAUCUGGUGCAGCAAUAAAUUAUUUUUGGAUCAAAUAAAUGAAUAAUUUUAUAUUUUUUAAAUACAAAAUUAUAUAAAUAUUUUGUAGAUCACUUUAUCCAUAAUUUUGAUAUAAAUAAUUUAUUCCUGUAAUUUUAAUCUCUCGUAAUAGUGAAUGAUAGUUGUUGAAAUUAUGAUGCUCCUAUGGCUCUCCUUUAUUCUUAAAUAAUUGUCAUAAAGCUUGUCUUCCUCCUUAGUCAUGAUAACUUCUUAUCCCUAUUUGAAACCUAUCGCUUUCAAGGUCUUCUUUUUUUCAUAUCUUACUUCAUCACCGAUUGAUUGUGAUCAUGUUCUAUCAAAUUAGCUGAAAAGAUAAGGAUGAUUGAAGAUGAACUCAACGUUUAAUAAGAAGAAGUGAAUAACAUUAUGGAACUAUGACUCAAAUGCGUCUAAUGUCCUAUCGUGUACAAGCAAAAGGAUGACCUCCUCAAACUGAUGGGUGAAUCCAACAGACAAUUGAGAUGGAAGCACCUCUAUCGGACGCAUUCCAUGCCAGGAAGCAUCCCCAUCAUCAUCAUACAAUAGUACAUAUGUUGACCUAUGUACGAGUGUACAACAUGAAAAGGGAAGCUCUUAGCUAGUCUUCAACUCUUCUUCUUCCUCUCUUAAGAACUAACGGGGGAUACCGAGUGAGCUAACGGGGGAUGCAGGAGGCCACAUAAAGAAGAGUAGGUAAGGAGAUAGAGGAAGAAUGAUUCUGGAGAUCUUAGCAGUCAAGGACAUGACGCUAUUAUUGAACCUUUUAGCCAUGAGAGCAACAUAUAUCAUUGUCUCUAUCACACUUUCUUCCCCCAAAUAUAAUUUAGCCCUGCUUUGUCUCAAUGCAGUCUGCAAUAACAAACCAACGAAGUGAGUUUUCAUAAGUACAUUUUGAAAUCAGCAUUUGAUCAGAUCCGUGAACAUGCAUUAGUACAUACAUUAAUAUCUAAAACCUUUAAUCAUAUAAUGUUUUGAUUUGAGUACCUGAAACUAAGAAAAUUUUCAAGAAACAAUAAUCUCAUAAAUUAAAUCACUAGAAAGGUUAAUUUCAUACAACUAUUGUACAUCUGUUCUCCAUAUGCUAUCAUACAACUUUAAGGUAUGGAUAUAUAUAUAUAUAUAUAUAUAUAUAUAUAUAUAUAUAUAUAUAUAUAUAUAUAUAUAUAUAGUUUUACGAUCUUAACUUAGAGUUAAAUCAUGACCACAUAAUAUAAAUCAUAUAAAUCGAGUAUAAUCAAAUUAUACUUGAUCAUAUAAGUUAAAUUAUAUUUGAUUAUAUGAGUUAAGUCAUAUCUAACUAUAUAAGUUUGGUUAUAUUUAGUCACUUGUGUUAAGUCAUACCUAAUCACAAAAAUUUGAUCAUGUCUAAUCACACAAGCUAAAUCAUGCUUGAUCACAUGGAAUGGAUUAUGCUUAAUCAUACGAGUUAUACCUGAUCAUAUAUGCUAAGUCAUAACUAUUAAAUGAGUUAGACAAUGCUUGAUAACAUAGGAUGAGUUAUGUUUAACCACAUAAGUUAGAUCAUGUCUCAUCACAUAAAUCGAGUAAUAUAUAACUAUAUAUAUUAUAUUAUAAUUGACUAUAUGGAUUGUGUUAUGUUGAAUCACAAGAGUUGAAUCAUACUUGACCACGACCACGUAGAUUGAAUGAUACCUAAUCACGUGAGUUUGAUUGUACUUCACCAUAUAGAUUAAUUUGGUCAAUCAACUUAACUAAGAUUAAAUCUCAAAUUUGACUCAUACUUGUUAAAUUAGAUUUUAACAUUUUAAAAAUAUUUUAAAAUAUUAUAAAAAUAAUAAUUCAUCAUAAAUCUAUUAAUUUUCAUGAAUUAACUAAUUUAGAUUUAUGUUCAAAAUUUAAAAGUAAUUAAAUCUAAAAAUACAUACUUAAUUGUUUAAAACAUAAAUACACUUUCAAUGAUCAUUAUUUAUUAAUAAUAAAAUUUUAAAAUUAAAAAUAUCAUUUUUUAUGUAUAAAUUAAAAUAAUUUAAAUAUUAAAUAAUUUUAAAAAUAUAAAAAUAAAAUAUUAAUAAUAAAAAAAAUAUACUCUCCUCAUGAUCAUUUCCUCUAAGAGAGCUAGGAAUUGAGUAAAGAUGAGCUUGAGCUCUCCAUAAAAGAUAAAUAAUAAUUUUAAUAAUUUUCUUAAUCAUAUUAUAUAAAUAAAAAAUACUAAUUUAAAUAAAAUAAUAUAUGAUUUAAAGUAAUUAAUUGAUGUUAGAAAUUUAUGGAUGAUUACAAAAGUCACGACUUUAUUGGAUGAUCUGCAUGAUUAGUAAACUAAUAAAUUAUCUGUAGUCAAUCAAGCUAACCUAACAAUUACAAGAUCUUUUGAAUGUUGAUAGUUGCAAUUUGUUAACUAUGUAAUCAAACAAAGAAGACAAAAUUCAGAAUAUGCUAUAAGUUCCUGAAGUUUCAGAAUACCUAACAUCUAUAAAAAGGGAAGAGUUGAGAUGAAGCAUUAUGAAAACGAUGUAAAAGUAUAACAUGAAAAUGCACCAAGGAAUAUAUAUAUAUAUAUAUAUAUAUAUAUAUAUAUAUAUAUAUAUAUAUAUAAUUCAUCAAGAAAAAUUCAGAUCAUCAGAUAUGAGAGACAGCAAAAACAUAAAGGGCUUUCACAUGCAUGCAUGGCAAACGAAAAGGUUCAAUUGUGAUUUUAAAAACAUAAUUGUCAUGCAAAAAGAUAAAUUAAUGGUUCAAGUAAGACAUAUCUUAAUAAGAGUAAUUUAAUUUUUAACCCACGAGACCAAGCCGAAGCAUUACACAAUAGGAGUAAUAAAAAAUCCACAGUUAUUGAAAUUUGUUACUUAAAAACUCGGAGUAACUUAUAGUUACCAUUUCCCCAUAAACCAAAAAUUUAUUUCCACUAUAUUUUUCCUUGACUAAGAAUAACAUCAUUAAACUUCUACCAUCGAUCGAUGACAAUGACAAACUUGCCAUCUGUAGGAGAGCAAAGGUCAAGAACAAAAACAUGAGAAACCAUAAAAUUCUUUCUUAAAAAAAUUAAUUUAAUAAGUUCAUAUCAAGUGGUCAAUUAAGAAAAUUAUCAAAAGUAAUAUCAUGGUUACAUCUACUCCGCGGGCUAUGAUAUAGCUUAUGAGUUCAGCCUAACAUACUAAUUUAUUUCAAUUUAAAUCAUAAUUAAUUUUUAAAUUUUAAAUUAUACUAUCAUGAAAUUAUAACAAAAAUAAAUUAUAUACCGAUCAUUUUCAUGUCGAGAUAAAAUAAUAUAUUAAAAUAUUUUUAAUUUAUCUUUUAAAUAUUAUUUAAUAUAAAAUAAUAUCAAUUAGUCCUUAAUUAACUUGAAUCCUAGUUCAAUCGAUCUAAUUGAAUUGGAUUUAAUUAUAACCUAGUUUAAUCGAUCUCUAAUUCUUAUUUAAUUGAUCUAAAAUUAUCUUAAACUUAAUAUAUUUUAGAUUAUAUUAAGUUUAAUUUAUGUUAAAUAUAUUUAAAUAAAUUAAAUUACUUCAAAGUCACCUUCAAUCGAUUUAAAUUUAUCAAAUUAGAUUUCGCUCAAUCGAACACAAAUGAAAUAAAGUAAAGAUAGUAAUAUGAUAUGUUAAGUUAGUCGAUGUACUUAUUGUAUAUGACUAUGCAUAUAAAAUACCAAGCUAUGUCGAAUCAUAGCCCAUGAACUAAUCAUAUGCACUACACAUGAUUGUCCAUGUUGAGUCGGAUUGAAUGACUAACUAGGCUUAACCUGUUGGGUCGAAUCUACGGGUUGUAGUUUAGCCUGUGGGUAGAUCCUGAUUUGCUAAACGAAUUUCAACCUAAAUCAUAAUAAUUUUUUUAAUUUUAAAUUAUAACAUCAUGAAAUUAUAAUAAAAAUCUCAAACUAUUGCAAUUGAGUCAUUAAAACAUAAUAAAUAGUAAUCUAUUAAAAAUAUAAAAUUGCAUUAAGGGGGAAAUAAUAUUUUUAUUCAACUAUUAGAUAAAUCUAAUAAAAAUUGAAUAUUACAACUAGUAUAAUGCAUAAAAGAUAAAAAUUUUCAAAAUUAUUAUAGUAUGAAUAAUUAUAAUAUAUUAAAUCUAAAAAUAAAAUUUUAAAUAUUUGGAUGAAUAUAAUAAAAUUUUAGAAACUAUAUAUAUCAUGAAUAAUAAAAAAUAAAAAAAUAUUAAUUUUUUAAAAAAUAUAGAAACACCUAACUGUACGUAGUGAAAAACGAAGAAGAGGAAUCACCCCUAUUAAAUAAAAAAGUCCAACCUUCCAAGGUAAUAAAUAUUUUAAUUUAUUUAUUUAUUUAAUAAAAAAUUAUAUCACUUAACUUAAAAUAUUGAAUAUUUAUUUUAUAAAUUUUAUUCAUAAGAAAAGAAAGUAAAUAAUUGUACUUAAACUGAAAUAUUUAAGCACAGAUGAAACCUGUCAAAUUAGUAUUUUAAGAUCAUUUUAUCCAUAUUUUUUAUAUAAAUAAUUUAUUCCUAUAAUUUUGUUUUUCUUGUGCAUUGCGAAGGUUAUACACAAUACGUAUAAGGAGGGUGGUUGUAAUUAGGGCGCCGCUGCGGCUGCUCUCUUGUCCCACAACGGCUGCUGCUCCGCUCCGCUCCGUACUCCAACGCCGCAAUGGCCUUCUGCCCUUGUUCGAAACCUGCCGCCUUCGAGAUCUCCUCUUCUUCUCCUCCUCUGUCGACCCUGCCGCCGCCGUAGGCGGCACCAUAUCUCCAGAUCCCCACUUCAUGGUGGAAUACCUCGUGAACUCUUGCGGGUUCUCCCCCUCCGAGGUCCGAGGCAGCCAAGUUCUCUAAAUCUCUUGCGCACCUCCGAUCCACCGAGAAACCCGACGCCGUCCUUAACUUCAUGAGAUCUCAGGGCCUCGGUGGCGCCGCUAUCAGGAAGGUGAUAUCUUCGGAACCCAAUUACCUGUGCUACAACGUGGAGACGAACAUCGCCCCGAAGUUUCAGUUCUUACGUGAUUCGGGCCUAUCGGAGUCGGAUAUCGUCGAUGUCAUCCUGAAGAACGUUGUUAUUCUGCUCCUCGACGUUCACCGUUCCUUGGUCCCCAAAUUGGAGAUGUGGGAAAGUCUCUUGGGAUCGAGAGAGCUCGUUCUCAAGCAUCUCAAGAAGACCCGGUGGUUUUUCUUCUCCAGCGUUGAGAAGAAAUUGCAUCCUAACCUAAAGUUCUUGAGGGAUGAGUGCGGCAUUCCUGAAGAAAGGGUCUAUGUCGUCUUGAGAAGUCACCCACAAUUAAUCUCACAGAAACCAGAGUCUCUCCGAGCUUUGGUGGCGAGAGCCGAUGAACUGGGGAUGCCACGGCAAUCUCGGAUGUUCGUGCGGACACUUGAUGCUCUCCACAACGUAAGCCGAGAAAGGUUCGAGGCCAAGGUCGAGCUCAUGAGGAGCUUCGGGUGGUCGGAGUCGGAGUUUUCUUCUGCAGUCAGGAAAGCACCCACCUUCUUAUGCAUCUCCCUCGAUAUGUUGCGCAGAAAAGUGGAAUUUUUUAUCAAUGUAGUCGGGUACACUCCUUCCUUCAUCGCCUCCCAACCAUCUAUCUUGCUAUAUAGUCUGCAGAAGAGGGUAAUUCCUCGGUUUCGUGUUUUGGAGAUGUUGAAUACGAAAUGCUUGUGGACUCGACAAGGCACGUGUUUGUCCUAUGUGAAAUUAUCAAAUGCAAAAUUCCGGGAGAAGAUUGUUCUACCUUACAAAGAAAAGGUUCCUGAGCUUCUUGAUAUUUUGAGAGCUGGUGAGUGUGAAGGGAAAUGAGCCCUUUUAUUUGGUAUCAGAGGAGGAUGAGAAGGGCUUAGCUGCUGGUUUAACUCACAUUUGAAUUUCUCAUCCGGAGCUGAGCAGUGAUUCGGCACCUUUUUCCUUGACAACAAGCUGUCUUACAUCAACCACCAGCCUUGGCUACUGAGUUGCAGUCCAGUGAAUGAAUUAUUCCUUUGGUGUCAUAUGGUAGUAAUGUUGUAAUUGGAAGGUCUAUGCAGUGCCCAACACAAAAUGUCUUCCAGUUUUACUCACUAAGGUUCAUGGAAAAAGUCUGUUCUUUGUUGCAAAGCAGAAGUCCCUGGCCUGUUUGAAAUCUCUGAUAGAUGAAGGUAGAUUAUUCCCCUAGUUUGAGAUUCUGGAAAUAGAAUGCAAAUGGCUUCUCUAAAAGUCUAUUGAGGUGUGAGAUUCUUCUUAUGUGACAAGCUAGUUUAGCAUUGAUUAUAAACCAACUUUGUCUGUAUGUGAAAAUGCAAAUGGCACAGUAUUGUUGGUUUGUAUGUGAACUGCAGAUUUUAGAAAUUCUGCUUAGCAGUCCAACGGAGAUUAUUUUGGAUCUUAGGAACAUUUGGAUUCUGUUUAAGUUGAUUCUGAACGGGUAUUUGGAUUCUGACAAAUGUAAUUCCGGAUCGGUUAUUGGUUGUUGGGUGAGUGUGAAAGAGCCAUGUUUCAGAUUAAGUUAUGCAGUAUGUAUACACCACCAAAGAUGACGAGAAGUUAAAUGGAGUAGUACUUGCUCUGAUGAUUUUAGUAGCUGAAAAAAAUUUAAACCCCAAAGUGUUGUUUCUAUAAUUUAUUGUAGGUGAGUUUUCACGGAUUUAUGGAUUUGGUUGUCUUCAAGGAGUUGUUAUCUUGUCAGUUGAGUUUCUAUGCAAACUUGCUCGUGUGCUAAUUGGAAGAUUCCAUUUAUGUUUCUGUUAUGUAUUGUGAUAUUUGCAUGCAGGGGCCUCAAUGGAAUUUGGAAGACCAGUUUUUGUGUUGAUCAGGAGUACCAUUGGUUUGGUACUCACCCAUUUCUUUUGCAUGUAAGAAGGUGUCACUUUGCUUGCAGGUUGAAUGGACUUCAGAGAAUCAAAACUUGUGUAUGUUAUACUGAAAUGCCUUCAGCCUCAUUGGAAUUGUUGAGUAUGCUAUCCUGAAUUGUCUUCAGCCUCACUGGAAUUGUAGAGUUUGCUAUCCUGAAAUGUCUUCAGCCUCAUUGGAAUUGUUGCCCAGGCAUUUCCUGCAUCAACAAACUCUAACAUGCAAGCUAAUUUAUACGCCUAAACAUUUUAAAAUUGACACCAAAAUGUGUAUUUCAAAUCUCUGUAAUUGUCUUUAGGAUUUCUUUUAGAGUUAAUGAUCAUUACAUCAUAAGGUUUUAUGUCCCGCAUUUAGUGCAGAAAUGACUACUUAUGAUUGUGCAAACUAUCCUUACCCAUUCUCAGCUACUCUUGUUUCGGCCUCUCCAUGCAAUUGUGCAUAUUUUUAAUAUCACAAUUCAGAUAAGAUCAUAAGAAUAUUGAUCAUCUUUCUCAUAUGUAAAAUGUUUUCGGAAUCUUGAUAUCAGCUGUUCAUCUUUUGCAGCGAAUUUUGUGUAGCUGUGCAUGAAUUGUGGAACUGAUAGAACUAACAAGUGCAUCAAGAAUAUUGGAAGGUAUGCGAAAACUGCUUUUCUAAUUACAUUCUUGUUCCUGCCAUGCUUGUUUGUAGUGCUAUAGAGUAUGCUAUGAAUCUUGUCUCUUGCAAGCAAUCAUUGGAAUUGGUUCUUGGAUUCUUGUUCAUAGUUUUUGUUUUGUUUUUGAGUGUGUUAGUUUAUUUAAUCUGUUGCGAGUUUGGUAUAACAAGGUUUCAAAAUCAUUUGGUUAUUAUCUCAAUUCUCAAUGGGCAUAUUGAGACCCACAAUCGGCCUAAAUUGGGCUUUCCCAUUGUGUAGGCUUGCUCAAUAUUUUCUUACUUUUGUUCGUAAGGCCCAAUUUAACCCAUUACGUUCCCGUAUGCAGCCCGUUUCUCGUGCGUACACUCAACCCUGUAUCUUACUUUCUUUAAAUGUUUGUUAUAGAUUGCUCCUCAGGCAAUCAGGUAAGUGUGAUUUCUGUGAAUUCUUCAUCAAGUCUGCUGCUUUUUCUUCUUUCUUCCAAUUGUAAGUUAUGUAUCUGUUAUCAUUCCACAACUAUGUGUAAGCAUAAUAUAGAUUGGAAGUUAAAUAUAUCUUGCAAUGAUUGUAAGAAUUCUUUAAUGUCAUGGAGAGUAUUCAAGCUGAAGUUUUUGUGGAAUCGUUUAACUAUUGGUUGUUAUUAGCAAUAAGUAAGAAGGACAUUGCAAUAGCAUUCUUAGCUUAAGUUUUGAUCUGCUAAUUACCUUACUUUUCAUGAAAGCAUGAUUGUGCCCUGUGAGAUUUUUAAUCAAAAGCUAAAUUUUCCUCUGCCUUAGAUUGGUAAUUUUGAGGUGUUACUGUUAUGUGUAGCAAUAUUAUGCAAUGGAAGGUAAACUUGUGCAUUUUAAUAUUGUCACAUCUUUGCAAUGAUCAUAAACAUUUUUCAAGUUUCUGGUGGUGCUAGUUUCUCCACUGUUGUUUAUAGUUGAGUUCUUAACCUAUGUUCUUCCAAGCAAGUUUGCCUUGAGCUAAAUGUAGCACCUGUGGGAUUUACAAUUGAAAGGUACACAGUAAGAUGAAGGCAACAGAGAUUCUUAGUGACUUACUGGGAAUGGAUGCUAAUAUGUUACAUAAAUGUACUUAAAUCCUUUGGGUCUCAAUUGACAUUACAAAAGGCUUGUUGUAAGUGCAAUGCCUUUUGUGCCAUGGUGCAGGUGGGAGCUAAGCACAAUGAUAAUAUCUAUAUUAAGAUAAAGUGGAUGAGGCAAAUGUGAAUUUUGUUGGUGGAUAUUUCAUGGUGGUCUAAUCAUAAGUGACAGAAGAUUGGAUGAAAGAAACAGAUUAAGAUUUGAGCCUAUGAGUGAUAAAAGGUAUUAGUAAAUUAGUCCCUCUCAUGGAUCGCGUCAGAUAUCGAAUUUAUUUUAUGUCAAGUCCUCAUCAUUAUUCCGACAUUUUUUUUUGUCAUCAAUGAUGAUUGUGGUUAACUAUUUAACUCUAUAAGUGUAAAAGAAUAUACAUACAUAUAUAUAUAUAUAUAUAUAUAUAUAUAUAUAUAUAUAUAUAUAUAUAUAUAUUAGCAUUUAUCUCUAUAUCCCUUGCUCCAAGAUAAACUGGAUUGUUGGAUUAAUAAUAAUAAUAAUAGUCUAUAAUAAUAAUUAUAGAAGAUUGGAUUUUGGAAAUAAUUAUUACAUAAGUAAUUGGGAGGCAGUCAACCUCAUUCCUUUCAUGUUGUAGAACAGACCACUUCAAAACCAUUAAGAAGCUUCAUGUGUAAGAAUCUUCAUACAAAGUCAAACUAACAUGUAAGCUCAAAAGGUUUAGAUGUGAUAAUUAAAUGUGUAUUUCAAGAUUCGUUAAUUACCUUUAGCUCUUGUAGUAGAGUUUAUAAUCAUUUGCAUCACUAGUAUUUCAGAUUUAUGCACACUAUCUUCACUCAUUCUCAACUCGUUUUUUUUCUGCCUAGCCAUGCUUGAUAUGCGUUUUAUAUUUUGAUAUUAGUUGUUCCGUCUUUGCAGCGAUUCUGUGCAGGAGUCGUAGAACUGAUAGAACUUGCAAGUUCAUCAACAAUAUUGGGAAGAUACUCUUUUUUCUUGAUGAUUGAAUAAUAACGUCCCAAUUCUUUUUGUCGACACACGUAUGACUCAAUUUUGGGAAGACAGACAUUAAUGAAAUGAAUAUAUGGAAGGAAGUGAGAAAAGUAGAAUUCAUGAAUUUAAAUAAGACAAGUAAUCUAAGCAAAAUCGUGCACUUAUUUUAUGUUAAUGAACCAUUGCAAUGUGAACAUAAAACAUAAAAGGAUAGGAUACUUUCGGAUGCUCAGGAAGUUGGCAUGUAUAGAUUGAUUGUCUCCAGAUUGAAAUGUGGCUUGCUAUAAUUAACAGGUGUUGUCAUAUAUAUAUAUAAAGGAUACUUUCGGAUGCUCACGAAGUUGGCAUGUAUAGAUUGAUUGUCUCGGAUAAUCCGUUUUUUUUUUACAUGAGGAUCAUCGAUAAUAGUCGAUCGGCAAGGUUGCUACUGUUUGGAUUGUCAAACAAACGAUAAGAUAGUGGAGGAUAAUUGACGAGGUAAAAAUAUAAUGAAACGCAUAUAAAAGUAGAGUAAAAAGCGAUGAUCGAUAGAAGAAAACUGAAUAUUAAAAAAAUUAAUUUUUUUUAAUUUAGGCAGUAUCAUAAGAAAAUUUGAAUGUAGAAGUUUUUUUUUAAAAAGAAUUCGUCGGAUGAUCAAAUCACUUUUCUCAUGUAAAGCGUGUUUUCUUAUGGAGAGACAAAAUUAUAUAAAUAUUUUGUCGAUCACUUUAUCCAUAUUUGUGAUAUAAAUAAAUUAUUCCUGCAGUUUUGUAUUUCUUGUGCAUAGCGAAGCUUAUACACACUAUAUAUAGGAAUUAGGUUACCCAUUUCAGUUCUCUUUCUUCUCCCACGAUGGCGGCUGCGACGCUGCGCUCCGUACUCCGCCGCAAUCGCCUCCUUCCCUUGUUCGAAACCUGCCGCCUUCGAGAUCGCCUCUUCUUCUCCUCCUCUGUCGACGCUGCCGCCGUCACCGUAGGUGGCACCAUGUCUCCAGAUCCCCACUUCAUGGUGGAAUACCUCGUGAACUCCUGCGGGUUCUCCCCCUCCGAGGCAGCCAAGUUCUCUAAAUCCCUUGCGCACCUCCGAUCCACCGAGAAACCCGACGACGUCCUUAACUUCAUGAGAUCUCAGGGCUUCGACGGCGCCGGUAUCAGGAAGGUGAUAUCUGCGGAUCCCAGAUACUUAUGCUACAACGUGGAGAAGAACCUCGCCCCGAAGUUUCAGUUCUUACGCGAUUUGGGCCUAUCGGAGUCGGAUAUCGUCGAUGCCAUCCUGAAGAACAAUGGCAUCCUCCACUACAACGUUCACCGUUACUUGGUCCCCAAAUUGGAGAUGUGGGAAAGUCUCUUGGGAUCGAGAGAGCUCGUUCUCAAGCAUCUCAAGAAGUCAAGAUGGUUUUUCUUCUCCAGCGUUGAGAAGACUUUGCAGCCUAACCUAAAGUUCUUGAGGGAUGAGUGCGGCAUUCCUGAAGAAAGGGUCUCUGUCGUCUUGAGAAGUGACCCAAAAUUCAUCUCACAGAAACCAGAGUCUCUCCGAGCUUUGGUGGCGAGAGCCGAUGAGCUGGGGAUGCCACGGCAAUCUCGGAUGUUCGUGCGGACACUUGUUGCUCUCCACAACGUAAGCAAAGAAAGGUUCGAGGCCAAGGUCGAGCUCAUGAGGAGCUUCGGGUGGUCGGAGUCGGAGUUUUCUUCUGCAGUCAGGAAAUCACCCACCUUCUUAGGUAUCUCCCUCGAUAUGUUUCGCAGAAAAGUGGAAUUUUUUAUCAAUGUGGUCGGUUACACCCCUUCCUUCAUCGCCUCCCAACCAUCUAUCUUGCUAUUUAGUCUGCAGAAGAGGGUAAUUCUUCGGUUUCGUGUCACAGAGAUGUUGAAAUCGAAAGGAUUGUGGACUGGACAAGCCAAGUUUACUUCGAUUCUCUUUUUCUCAGAUACCAAAUUCAUGGAGAAGUUUGUUCUCCCACACAAAGAAAAUGUUCCUGAGCUGCUUGAUAUUUUGAGAUUUGCUGGCACCUGUAAAGGAAAUGAUACCUUGCAUUUGGCAUCGGAGGAUGAGGAAGGGCUUAGCUGAUGGUCUAAUUUGUGACGACGAAGGUAGAUUAUUUCCCUAAUUUGACAUUUGGGUAUUUUCUGCAAAGGGCUUAUCUAAAGGUCCAUUGUGGUGUGGGAAUUUUCUUUUAUGACAAGCUAGCUAGAUUAACAUUGAUUAUAAAUCAAAUUUGUUCUGUCUUACUGAUUGCUAGCUUAAAUUAUUUUCUGAUUGUCUUUGGCAUAGUAUUGUUGCUUUGUACGUUAGCUGCAUGUUUUAAAAAUUCUACAUAACAGUCCAACUGAGAUUACCUUUGGAUCUAUCGAAGGGACUUUUGGCUUUUGUCCAAAUUAAUCCAAUUCCAGAUUGGUUUUUGUUUGGGUUAGUCUUGAAGAGUCAUAUUUCAGAUCAAGUUAUGCUGUAAGUAUAUACAAAAUAUCACCAAAGAUCACAGGAAGUUGCUGCGUAGUAAUUGCUCUAACGAUUUAAGUGGCUGAAAAACACUUAAACUUCUUUGCAAACUUAUGUAUUUAUGUACUAAUUGGAUUAUUCAAAUUUGAUUGAUUCAUUGUAAUAUUAGUAUGCAGUGGCUUCAAUGGAAUUUGAAAGACCAGUUGCACUGGGUUGAUCAGGAGUCACCAGCUCUUCUGAAACGUCUUCAACCUCCUUUGGAAUUGCUAAAGCUUUUCUCGCAUCAACAAACUCUUGCAUGCCUCCAUAGGCUUCUGCUCGUCCACUCUUUGUGAUUCCAGGUGCAGAUCUCUUCAUUCUUGGAUUUGGUGGAUGCAAUUUCUCAUCAUCAUAGCUGAAGCUUUUGCUCCACUUGAAAGCCUUCAGAAGGCUGCACAACUAAAUUUCUCUAACAUCUUUAUCGAACUAAUUGCCUUGAGUUAGUCAAUUCGCUGGUUCCUUAAGAAUAUUUUGGAUGUCAUUUUAUUUCUUAUUUCAAGUCUUCAUGUUGUCGAUGUGGUCCAUGUUUCCCGCAUCAUGAACCGCGUGGCCCAUUGUCUAGUCAAUCUUGGAAGGGCUGUAAAUUCUCUGUUUUUUUGGGUCUUGUAAUGAUAGAUCAGUCUAUCUCAGUAUCUAAUCCGCUUUAAUCUUUAUUGAAAUUUCUCCUUUUUUGGUGAAAAAAAACUCUAGCAUGCAAACUAACAUGUAAGCUCAGAAGGUUUAAAAGUGACAAUUAAAUGUUUAUUGCAAGAUUCUGUAAUUGGCUUUAGUUCUUGUUGUAGAGUUUAUGAUCAUUUACAUCACUAGUAUUUCUGAUUUUUAUGCACGCUAUCUUGACCCGUUCUCAACCAGUAUUUUUUUGGCUAUCGAUGUCUUUGUGCAUGUAUUCAGUAUCUCAUUUCAGAUUGGGUCAUAAGAUCAUCAUCAUCUUUAUCAAUGCGUGAAAUGUGUUUUGGAUUUUGAUAUCAUUUGUUCCAUCUUUAUUCUUUAUUCUUUGUCUUGGAUAAUAAUGUCUCAAAUCCAUAAUUUUGAUAUAAAUAAUUUAUCCAUAAUUUUGAUAUAAAUAAUUUAUUACAGUAAUUUUUAUUCCUAUGCAUAGUGAAGGACAACUGUUUGAAUUAUGAUACCCGGAUGCUCUCCUUUAUCUAGUCACAAUGCUCGGCUCCUCUCUUUUUCUUUUAUUUUAUCGUCGAUUGAUUAAAAUUAUGUUAGGUGUUGUAUUGUAUCUGACCAUAUAAAUUGAAUUAUGUUGAAUCAUGAGUUGAAUUAUACUUAACUAUAUGAAUUACGUAAUACUUAGUCACAUUAGUUAGGUUGUGAUUGACUACAUAGAUUGAUUUGAUAAAUCAACUUAUAUUAAAUCAAUAAUUUAACUCAUAUUAUUAAAUUAUAUCAUAAUAUUUUUUAAAAAUACUUUAAAAUAAUAACUAACCUUAAAUCUAUUCUUUUUCAAGAAUUAACUAAUUUAGAUUGAUAAUUUUAAAUUUAAAACUAAUUAAAUUGUACAAAUUCAUACAAAAUUUUUUUAAACAUAAAUAUGUCUAAUUAAAUAAAUUAAAAUUAUUAUUAAAUUAACUAAUUAUUUUAACAUCAUAAUUUCAUAAUCAUUAUUUAUUAAUCAUAAUAUUUUAAAAUUAAAACAUUAUUUUGCAUCAUAUUAAUUAAAAAAAUUCUACUAUUAAAUAUUUUAAAAUAUAAAUAAAAAUGAUAAUAAAGAAAAUAAAGAAUCCUACUCGUCCUUGCAAUCCUAUCAUCAAAAUUUUUUUUUUCUUAAUCCUUCGUCCAACUUCUAAGAGAGGGGAAUUAACGAGGAAUAGUAGAAGACGAGAGGGGAAUUAACGAGGAAUAGUAGAAGACGAACUCUUCUCGAUAGAUAAAUAAUAUUUUUUAUUUUACUUUCAUACAAAAAUGGAUUGUAAUAUUAAUUUUACAUUGUCCACACACAAAAAUAAAAUUUAAAAUAUUUGCUUUUUAAGAAUCAUAUCAGAAAAUAAAUCAAUUAAUAAUUUAAUAAAUCAAUAAAAUUCUUAAUUUGUUCAAAUAAUAAAAAAUAAUUUUAAUUAGUUUAAAGUAUAUUAAAUAAAUAAAUUAAAAUAAUAAUAUAUGAUUUAUAAUAAUUAAUUGAUGUUAAGAAAAAAAAAUCUAUGAUUACAAAAAUCUUGAAGUUUCAGAACACCUAACAUCUAUAAAAGGGAAGAGUUGAGCUGAACCAUUACGAGAAAAAAAAAAAAGUUCAAAAGUGGUGCAGAAACAAACAUAAUAGCCACGCAAAAAUGGUUACUGGUUCAAGUAAAAGACAUGUGAUUAAGUAAUUUAACUUUUAAUCCACAACGCCAAGCUGAAUCACUACAUAAUAAGAGUCGCCAGAAAUCCACAGUUGUUAAAAUAAGUUGCUAUAAAAAAUAAAAAUCAGACACGAAGUAACUUCAGCUUAUCAAAAAGAAAAAUGAAAAUGAGAAGCAGAGAGGUCAUCUUUUCCCCCUCGACAUCAACUCCAUACGUUGCAGGGAACUCCAAGAUAUCAUUGUCUAAAUAUCAUCGAUAAAUAUCACACAUAUAUAUAUAUAUAUAUAUAUAUAUAUAUAUAUAUAUAUAUAUAUAUAUAUAUAUAUAUAUAUAUAAUUUAUUUAUACAUCAAAAUAAAAGUUAAAAAUAAUCAUAGGUUUUAUUCAUAAACAUAAUAAUAUAAAUUCAAAAAUAAACAUUCAACUUCAAGUCUAAGGUUAGCUUUCAAAAAAAUAAUAACCGAAAAAAUUUUCAGAGUCCCCUUCAAUCUAUUUAAAUUUAUUAGAUUAGAUUUCGCUCAAUCAAACACAAAUGAGAUAAAUUAAAGAUAAUAAGUUAGAUUGCAUAGUAAUAUAAUAGGUUAAGUUAGUCAAUAUGCUAAUCAUUUGCAUUGUACAUGAUCAUGCAUAUAACAUACUAAGCUACGUAGUAUAUGAACUAAUCAUGUAUACUACAUAUGAUUAUCCAUGUUGAGCCGGAUUAAGUGAUUAACCAAGCUUAGCAUGUUCGUUGGGUCUAGUCUACGGGUUGUAGUUUAGCUUAUGAGUAGAGCCUGACUUACUAAAUAGAUUUUAACUUAAAUCAUAAUUAUUUUUUUAAUUUUAAAUUAUAGCAUCAUCAAAUUAUAAUCAAAACACCAAACUAUUAUAAUUGAGUAAUUAAAAUAUAAUAAAUAUUAAUAGAUUAAAAAUAUAAAUUUACAUUAAAGGGAAAAUAAUAUUUUUACUCAACUAUUGUACAAAUCUAAUAGAAAUUGAAUAUUACAACUAGUAUGUUGCAAGAUAAAAAUUUUAAAAAUGAUUGUAGUAUGAAUAAUUAUAAUAUAUUAAAUCCAAAAAAAUUUAAAUAUUUGGAUGAAUAUAAUAAAAUUUUAGAAACUAUAUAUAGCAUGAAUAAAAAAAUAAUAAUAAUAAUAAUAUUUUUUAAAAAAAUAUACAAGCGCCUACCUCUCUUAUUCUGAUUUGAAGUAGUGAAAAACUAAGAAAAGGAAAUCGCACCUAUUAAAUAAAAAGAGUCGAGCCUUCCAAGGUAAUAAAUAUUUUAAUUGUUAUAUUUAUUUAAUUAAUAAAAAUAAUAUCACUUAACUUAAAAUAUUGAAUAUUUAUUUUAUAAUUUUUAUUCAUAAGAAAAGAAAGUAAGUAAUUGUACUUAAACUGAAUGAUUUAAGGACAGAUGAAACCUGUCAAAUUAGUAUUUUAAGAUCAUUUUAUCCAUAUUUUUUAUAUAAAUAAUUUAUUCCUAUAAUUUUAUAUUUCUUGUGCAUACCGAAGGUUAUACGCUCUUCGUAUAAGGAGCGUGGUUGUAAUUAGGGUGCCGCUGCGGCUGCUCUCUUGUCCCACAAUGGCUGCUGCUCCGCUCCGCUCCGUACUCCGCCGCAAUGGCCUUCUGCCCUUGUUCGAAACCUGCCGCCUUCGAGAUCUCCUCUUCUUCUCCUCCUCUGUCGACCCUGCCGCCGCCGUAGGCGGCACCAUAUCUCCAGAUCCCCACUUCAUGGUGGAAUACCUCGUGAACUCCUGCGGGUUCUCCCCCUCCGAGGCAGCCAUGUUCUCUGAACCCCUUGCGCACCUCCGAUCCACCGAGAAACCCGACGCCGUCCUUAACUUCAUGAGAUCUCAGGGCUUCGAUGGCGCCGGUAUCAGGAAGGUGAUAUCUGGGGAUCCCAGAUACUUAUGCUGCAACGUGGAGAAGAACCUCACCCCGAAGUUUCAGUUCUUACGCGAUUUGGGCCUAUCGGAGUCGGACAUCGUCGAUGUCAUCCGGAAUAACGAUGACAUCCUCUGCCGCAACGUUCACCGUUCCUUCGGCCCCAAAUUGGAGAUAUGGGAAAGUCUCUUGGGAUCGAGAGAACUCGUUCUCAAGCAUCUCAAGAAGUCAGGAUGGUUUUUCUUCUCCAGCGUCGAGAAGACAUUGCAUCCUAACCUAAAGUUCUUGAGGGAUGAGUGCGGCAUUCCUGAAGAAAGGUUCUCUCUCGUCUUGAGAAGUCACCCACAAUUAAUCUCACAGAAACCAAAGUCACUCCGAGCUUUGGUGGCGAGAGCCGAUGAGCUGGGGAUGCCACGGCAAUCUCGGAUGUUCAUGUGGACACUUGUUGUUUUCCACAACGUAAGCCAAGAAAGGUUCGAGGCCAAGGUCGAGCUCAUGAGGAGCUUCGGGUGGUCGGAGUCGGAGUUUUCUUCUGCAGUCAGGAAAGCACCCACCUUCUUACGCGUGUCCGUCGACAUGAUGCGCAGAAAAAUGGAAUUUUUUAUCAAUAUAGUCGGGUACACCCCUUCCUUCAUCGCCUCCCAACCAACUAUCUUGCUAUAUGGUCUGCAGAAGAGGGUAAUUCCUCGGUUUCGUGUUUUGGAGAUGUUGAUUACGAAAGGCUUGGGGACUCGACUAGGCAAGUUUUCGUACUAUGUGAAAUUAUCAAAUACAAAAUUCCGGGAGAAGAUUGUUCUACCUUACAAAGAAAAGGUUCCUGAGCUUCUUGAUAUUUUGAGAGCAGGUGAGUGUGAAGGGAAAUGAGCCCUUUUAUUUGGUAUCAGAGGAGGAUGAGAAGGGCUUAGCUGAUGGUCUAACUCACAUUUGAAUUUCUCAACAGGAGCUGAGCAGUGAUUCGGCACCUUUUCCCUUGACAACAAGCUGUCUUACAUCGACCACCAGCCUUGGCUACUGAGGUGCAGUCCAGUGAAAGAAUUAUUCCUUUGGUGCCAUAUGGUGGUAAUGUUGUAAUUGGAAGGUCUACGCAUUGCCCAACACAAAAUGUCUUCCAGUUUUACUCAUUAAGGUUCAUGGAAAAGUCUGUUCUUUGUUGCAAAGCAGAAGUCCCUGGCCUGUUUGAAAUCUCUGAUCGAUGAAGGUAGAUUAUUCCCCUAGUUUGAGAUUUUGGAAAUAGAAUGCAAAUGGCUUCUCUAAAAGUCUAUUGAGGUGUGAGAUUCUUCUCAUGUGACAAGCUAGUUUAGCAUUGAUUAUAAACCAACUUUGUUUUGUCUUACUAAAUGUCUGCUCGAAUCAUCUUCUGAUUGUGUUUGGCACACUAUUGUUGGUUUGUAUGUGAACUGCAGGUUAUUGGUUGUUGGGGGAGUGUGAAAGAGCCAUGUUUCAGAUCAAAUUAUGCAGUAUGUAUACAUCACCAAAGAUGACGAGAAGUUACAUGGAGUAGUGGUUGCUCUGAUGAUUUUAGUAGCUGAAAAAAAUUUAAACCCCAAAGUGUUGUUUCUAUAAUUUGUUUUAAGCGAGUUUUCACGGAAUUAUGGAUUUGGAUGUCUUCAAGGAUGUGUUAUCUUGUCAGUUGAGCUUCUAUGCAAACUUGUUCGUGUGCUAAUUGGAAGAUUCCAUUUAUGUUUCUGUUAUGUAUUGUGAUAUUUGCAUGCAGGGAGGGGCCUCAAUGGAAUUUGUAAGACCGGUUGCUGUGUUGAUCAGGAUUACCAUUGGUUUGGCGCUCAUCCAUUUCGUUUGCAUGUAAGAAUGUGUCACUUUGCUUGCAGGUUGAAUGGUCUUCAGAGAAUCAAAACUUGAGUAUGCUAUCCUGAAAAGUCUUCAGCCUCAUUCGAAUUGUUGCUCAGGCAUUUCCUGCAUCAACGAACUCUAACAUGCAAACUAAUUUAUAUACCUAAACAUUUUAAAAUUGACAACAAAAUGUGUAUUUCAAAUUUCUGUAAUUGUCUUUGGGAUUUGUUUUAGAGUUAAUCGACGAUUACAAAAUUCACGACUUUAUUGGAUGAUCUGCAUGAUUAUUAAACCAAUAAAUUAUUUGUAGUCAUUCAAACUCACCUAACAAGUACAAGAUUCUUUGAAUGUUGAUAGUUGUAAUUUGUUCACUAUGUAAACAAACAGAGAAAGACGAAUUCCGUAUAAGCUACAAGUUCCUAAAGUUUUAGAACACCUAACAUCUAUAAAAGGGAAGAGUUCGGCUGAAGAAUUGUGAAAACGAUGUAGAAGUAUAAUAUGAAAAUGCACCAAGGAAAAAGAAAACAUAAUCCAUCAAGACAAAUUUACGAUCAUCAUAGGAAAGAGGCUCAAAUGGUAAAAUCAAAUAAGAGAGACCAAUGUUUACGAUAUCAUGGUUGGACCUAUCGGAGUCGGAUAUUGUCAAUGUCAUCCUGAAGAACAAUGCCAUCCUCCGUCUCAAUGUUUACAGUUCCUUCGUCCCCAAAUUGGAGAUGUCGGAAAGUCUUUUGGGAUCGAGAGAGCUUGUUCUCAAGCAUCUCAAAAAGACAAGACGAUUUUUCCUUUGAUCACAUGGAAUGAAUUAGAGCUGAAUUAUACCUGAUCUUAUAAGCUAAGUCAAAACUAUUAACUGAGUUAAACAAUGCUUGACCACAUACGAUGAGUUAUGUUUAACCACAUAAGUUAGAUCAUACUUGGUCAUAUGGAUGCAGUAAUUUUGUAACUAUAUAUAUUAUAUUAUAUUUGACUAUGUGGAUUAUGUUAUGUUGAAUCAUACUUGACAAUAUAGUCCAAGUAAUACUUAGAUUGUAUCACCACAGGCUAGUUUGGUCAAUCAACUUAAUUAAGGUGAAAUCUCAAAUUUGACUCGUACUUGUUAAAUUAGAUUUUAAUAUUUUAAAAAUAUUUUAAAAUAUUAUAAAAUAAUAAUUAAUCAUAAAUCUAUUAUUUUUCAUGAAUUAACUAAUUUAGAUUUAUGUCUCAAAUUUAAAAGUAAUUAAAUCAUAAAAAAUCAUACUUAAUUGUUUAAAACAUAAAUAUACUUUCGAUGAUCAUUAUUUAUUAAUCAUAAAAUUAUUAGAUUAAAAUAUUAAUUUUAUAACAUAUAAAUUAAAAUAAUUAUAAUAUUAAAUAAUUUUAAAAAUAUAAAAAAAUAAUAAUAAUAACAAAUCUACUCUCCUCAUGAACAUUUCUUGUAAGAGAGCUAGUAAUUGAGGAAAGAUGAGCUUGAGCUCUCCAUAAAAGAUAAAUAAUAAUUUUAAUAAUAUUCUUAAUCAUAUUAUAUAAAUGAAAAAAAAAUACUAAUUUAAAUAAAGUAAUACAUGUUUUAAAGUAAUUAAUUGAUGUUAGAGAAUUAUCGAUGGUUACAAAAGUCACGACUUUAUUGAAUGAUCUACAUGAUUAUUAAACUAAUAAAUUAUUUGUAGUCAAUCAAGCUCACCUAGCAAUUACAAGAUCUUUUGAAUGUUGAUAGUUACAAUUUGUUCACUAUGUAAUCAAACAGAGAAGACAACAUCCAGAAUAAGCUACAAGUUCCUGAAGUUUCAGAACACCUAACAUCAAUAAAAAGGGAAGAGUUGAGAUGAAGCAUUAUGAAAACGAUGUAAAAGUAUAACAUGAAAAUGCACCAAGGAAUAUAUAUAUAUAUAUAUAUAUAUAUAAUUCAUCAAGAAAAAUUCAGAUCAUAAAGGGAUUUCACAUGCAUGCAUGGCAAACAAAAAGGUUCGAUUGUGGUUUUAAAAACAUAAUUGCCAUGCAAAAAGAAAAAUUAAUGGUUGAAGUAAGACGUAUCCUAAUAAAAGUAAUUUAAUUUUUAACCCACGAUACCAAGCCGAAUCACUACACAACAGGAGUAAUAAAAAAUCCACAGUUAUUGAAAUGUGUUACUUAAAAACUCGGAGUAACUUAUAGUAACCAUUUCCCCAUAAACCAAAAAUUUAUUUCCACUAUAUUUUUCCUUGACUAAGAAUAACAUCAUUAAACUUCUACCAUCGAUCGAUAACAAUGACAAACUUGCCAUCCGUAGGAGAGCAAAGGUCAAGAACAAAAACAUGAGAAACCAUAAAAUUCUUUCUUAAAAAAAUUAAUUUAAUAAGUUCAUAUCAGGCCGUCAAUUAAGAAAAGUAUCAAAAGUAAUAUCUAGUCCGCGAGCUAUGAUAUAGCUUAUGGGUUGAGCCUAACAUACUCAUUUAUUUCAAUUUAAAUCAUAAUUAAUUUUUAAAUUUUAAAUUAUACUAUCAUGAAAUUAUAAUAAAAAUAAAUUAUAUAUCGAUCAUUUUCAUAUCGAGAUAAAAUAAUAUAUUAAAAUAUUUUUAAUUUAUCUUUUAAAUAUUAUUAAUAUAAAAUAAUAUCAAUUAGUCCUUAAUUAACUUGAAUCCUAAUUCAAUCGAUCUAAUUGAAUUGGAUUUAAUUAUAACCUAGUCGAAUCGAUCAUUAAUUCUUAUUUAAUUGAUCUAAAACUAUCUUAGACUUAAUAUAUUUUAGAUUAUAUUAAGUUUAAUUUAUGUUAAAUAGAUUUAAAUUAAUUAAAUUAAUUUAGAGUCACCUUCAAUCGAUUUAAAUUUAUCAAAUUAGAUUUUGCUCAAUUCGAACACAAAUAAAAUAAAGUAAAGAUAAUAAGUUAGAUUGUAUAGUAAUAUGAUAUGUUAAUUUAGUCGAUGUACUUAUUGUAUAUGACUAUGCAUAUAUCAUACCUAACUCAUAGCCCAAGAACUAAUCAUUUGCACUACACAUCAAUGUUGAGUCGGAUUGAAUGACUAACUAGGCUUAGCCAGUUGAGUCAAAUCUAUGGGUUGUAGUUUAGCAUGUGGGUAGAGCCUGAUUUACUAAACGAAUUUCAACCAAAAUCAUAAUAUUUUUUUUAAUUUUAAAUUAUAACAUCAUUAAAUUAUAAUAAAAAUCUCAAACUAUUGCAAUUGAGUCAUUAAAACAUAAUAAAUAGUAAUAUAUUAAAAAUAUAUAAUUGCAUUAAAGGGAAAAUAAUAUUUUUACUCAACUAUUAGAUAAAUCUAAUAAAAAUUGAAUAUUACAACUAGUAUAAUGCAUGCAAGAUAAAAAUUUUCAAAAUUAUUAUAGUAAGAAUAAUUAUAAUAUAUUAAAUCUAAAAAUAAAAUUUUAAAUAUUUGGAUGAAUAUAAUAAAAUUUUAGAAACUAUAUAUAGCAUGAAUAAUAAAAAAAAUAAAAAAUAUUAAUUUUUAAAAAAAUAUAGAAACGCCUAACUCUAGUGAAAAACGCACCCCUAUUAAAUAAAAAGAGUCGAGCCUUCCAAGGUAAUUAAUAUUUUAAAUUUAUUUAAUUAUUUAAUAAAAAUAAUAUCACUUAACUUAAAAUAUUGAAUAUUUAUUUUAUAAAUUUUAUUCAUAAGAAAAGAAAGUAAAUAAUUGUACUUAAACUGAAAUAUUUAAGCACAGAUGAAACCUGUCAAAUUAGUAUUUUAAGAUCAUUUUAUCCAUAUUUUUUAUAUAAAUAAUUUAUUCGUAUAAUUUUGUUUUUCUUGUGCAUAGGGAAGGUUAUACACACUACGUAUAAGGAGAGUGGUUGUAAUUAGGGCGCCGCUGCGGCUGCACUCUUGUCCCACAAUGGCUGCUGCUCCGCUCCGCUCCGUACUCCAACGCCGCAAUGGCCUUCUGCCCUUAUUCGAAACCUGCCGCCUUCGAGAUCUCCUGUUCUUCUCCUCCUCUGUCGACCCUGCCGCCGCCGUAGGCGGCACCAUAUCUCCAGAUCCCCACUUCAUGGUGGAAUACCUCAUGAACUCUUGCGGGUUCUCCCCCUCCGAGGCAGCCAAGUUCUCUAAACCUCUUGCGCACCUCCGAUCCACCGAGAAACCCGACGCCGUCCUUAACUUCAUGAGAUCUCAGGGCCUCGGUGGCGCCGCUAUCAGGAAGGUGAUAUCUUCGGAACCCAAUUACCUGUGCCACAACGUGGAGACGAACAUCGCCCCGAAGUUUCAGUUCUUACGUGAUUCGGGCCUAUCGGAGUCGGAUAUCGUCGAUGUCAUCCUGAAGAACGUUGUUAUUCUGCACCUCCACGUUCACCGUUCCUUGGUCCCCAAAUUGGAGAUGUGGGAAAGUCUCUUGGGAUCGAGAGAGCUCGUUCUCAAGCAUCUCAAGAAGACCCGAUGGUUUUUCUUCUCCAGCGUUGAGAAGAAAUUGCAUCCUAACCUAAAGUUCUUGAGGGAUGAGUGCGGCAUUCCUGAAGAAAGGGUCUCUGUCGUCUUGAGAAGUCACCCACAAUUAAUCUCACAGAAACCAGAGUCACUCCGAGCUUUGGUUGCGAGAGCCGAUGAGCUGGGGAUGCC